GUGAUUUGCGGAAGCUACAGCUCAGGUUCUGAUGAACCUGGCUCUGAUACCAUGUGAGAUUUAUAGAGUUCUCUUCUCUGGUUGUGUUUGUGUGUGUAUAAACUCCAAUGGAGAAAGAUUAGAGCUUGCUCUAGGUGAUUUAGAAAGAGAUUGAUAAGAGUGUUUAUGAGAGAAUAAGAGACUUAGAACCAGAGAUUAAGAGACUGAGAGAUUAAGAGAAUAAGUGUUUAGAGAUUACAGUUUCAGAUUCAAGAACAAGUUUUCAUUUCCAUGAAGUGGAGAGGGGAAAUCCCCCUUACUCCCUUAAGGCUCCAAAUCGCCAUUACAUGCUUAUUUAUAAGCUCCAUAGGUUUACACAAUCUGAAACCUAAAUCUAAUGGAUAAUAUUAACUUGAGAGAAUGGAUGGUGUAGAUGAGAUGGUCUUCUUGUAAUAUCUGAAGAGUUGUGAGGAUAAGGUUGGCUGUUCACUUUAAUUCAAACCAAGGCAAGCUGGCUCCUUGCUUGUGAUUGGCUCUCCUUAGGCUCCUCCUAAUCUUCCCAUGCAUCUGUCCAGGUUCAUGGUCGUGGCUCCCUUCUCUUUACAGCAAGAGACAGCCUGUCCAAGACCAGAACUAGCCAAUCACACACAAGGAAGCUCCCAUUGGUUGUUUGCCUCCACAAAGCAUCUUCUUGAUGCCUUCUUGAUUCCAAACGACCAGGGCCUUCUCCCAACACCCUAAGAUUGCACAAAGCCUCCUUGACAUGUUCUGAUCACGCCCUAAGCUUGCACUUCUUGUCCCGGACUUUGCACAAUCUCAAAACAUCUCAAAUGGGCGAGUUGUGAUCUCUCGGGUCGUACCGGUCCGUACAGAUCCGUACAUGGCCGUACAGCCUCGCCCUAUCUUUGCACACUCUCCCAUUUGCUCCUCAACACUCUUCUAAGUCUCUCCUAGACUUUGACCUUGCUUAGAACAUCCAUCAGAUCACUUCUGGACACCUUUAGACUCCUCAUCACUCUUGAUAGGCAAUCUCUAAAGCUCUUGCCCUAUCUUUGUACAAGAUCCUUCUCAACUCAACACCUCUAGCUCCUCCAUUCCUUUCUUCAAGUUAACAACGCUUGGCCUUUACAGCCUGUCCACGGCCUGGAUGGAUAAGGCUCGUCCCACCCUUAUCUCUAAACGUUCUGAUCAGUCUUGAGACCUUCUAUGUACUCUAGAGGCUUUACUCAUCCAUCUCCUCCUUCCUUCAUGUUUCCUCAGAUGUACGGCCAAGCCCCUGUCCGUACAUAGGCCGUCCUGUCCGUACUCUUUCCAUCACUUGCUUAGCUCUUCCUCUCCUUCUCAUAAUGACUUCCUCAUCUCAACACACAGGUUCCUUGGUUGUAAGCUAAACCUCCUUCCCUUGUUUAAAGCUUGUGUCUUUAUGUUAUGGUUGUGUUGUGUGGUGUGGUUAAGUCCUGCGGAUUCUGUUUUGCAUCAUCUUGUUGUGAUUGCCAUAACUAAAGUGUCAUUAAUGAGUGUAGCAUCUAGUAGAAUGUCUAAGCUACUUGCAUAAUGGUACUGAAGUUGUUUUGCUGUUGCAUUGGUUAGUAUGCAGUGAGUAGUAUUUUAAAUCCCAGGAUCUCAUGUCUUGUUCAUUGCAUUGUCUUGUGUAGUGCCAUAGCUUGAAUCAUCAUGAAUGUGUUGUAGAAAUGAGUAGAAUGUCUCUGCUGCUUGCAUCAUGGUUGUAGAGCUGUUUUGCAUACAUAAGCAUGUCUCAUUGUCUCCUGGUUCAAUCCGAGUGUGUACUGGUGCUGUUGCCUGUGUUUAAUCCAUCAUUGACUGUCUUGCAUCAAUUAGAAGUUGUCUAAGUUGCUUGCCUCAUUGGUUUUGAUUAGAACUGUUGUGCAUAGCUUUAAAGUGUUCUCGGAUUGAUCAUGCAUUCAUAUAGCUAAUGCUUUACGAUUGUGCAUUCAUGUAUUGAUGCAUUUAAAACUGAGCCUAAAUUGCAAAUGUACUGAUGUUAGCUUGCAUUGCAUUUAGAGAACUUAAAAAAAAUAAAAAUUAUAUGCUUGAUUGUGCCUUGAUUGUUUGGCUGUUUCAAGUUUUAUAUAUUGUUGUGGCAUUGGUGAUCAAACAGGAUGGAUGAUCUUGGUUUGGUCCCAAUGGGAUGAUCUGAUCUUGCAUUGAGUUGUGGUGAUGUUAGGUACACAAAGAAGUGAUACAGUGACAAGCCAAACCAAAGUGUGAAGACAAAAGGUCUAGUUCCAUUGCAAAUCAUCACUGGAUGUGUUAAAUCCAUAAUCUACAGGAAGUGUAGUGUGAUUGAUUAUGCAAUGAGAGGAUGCCAUUGUAUAAUACCAUAGGACAUGUUCAGUCCACAGUCUACAGGAAGUGUAGCAUGGGUUAUUAUACAAUGAGAGCUUGUCUUGUGAGGACUCUCUAUGGUGAUUCAAACACCCUAGUUCCUGGUAUAAGGAAGAGAGCAGCUCACAAGACCAAGGCCAUCACAAAAGUCUAUGAAGACCGGUGGUCCAAAGGCCAUGAAAUUGCUUACACCUUACACAAGCUUAGCUCCUCACCUAUUCUCGGAGUUAAGCUUGAGGGGGAGUGUUAAUGAGCAAGUUUCAUGGUCCAUUAUCAAGUCUUUGCAAGGACUUCAUCAAAGGAUCAUCAACCGGGUCUAGGCAGUGGCGUGUCUAGGCAAGAGACUGUUCAGAGCAGUCUUGGCUGAGUGAGGAAGAAGGCUCUCUCUCAAUGCGGCUUCAAUGUGAGGUGGUUGAGGAGAAGCUGAUGAACCAACUCAGUCAUCCAACAAGUUGGUGUUGCCAUGAAGAGGUUGCAAUGGCCAAGAGAGAAGGGCUGCAAGGACUACAUUCAAGAGACAUCAACCGGAGUUAUUCUAGGCUGGGUGUGUAUGAAGGCUAAUAUUCAAGCUGAAGGAUCCAUACAGUCUUCCAACAAGUUGAUGUGCCCGUAGAGGUUGCAAGCCUAUGCGUAGUGUGAGGGAUUCAAGUGACAAUCCAAUCCAGCCACUCCUCACCAAAACAAAAAGGGAAGUGUCCCUUAAACUUAGUUCAAUUCAAUUCACUCAUCAUUUCAUUGUUUAAGCUUGAUAUGAUACUCAAAGUGUUUUGAUUGAAAUGUGAUGCAUUGAUGUGAUGCAAUCUUGGUUUCUUGAUAAGUACUGAUGCACCUUUGGGAUAAUGUAUCAGGUACCAUUGCUUGAGCCUCACUAAAGAUGUUCCUGGUCAUUUCCUAGCUUCUCUAAGGUGGCUGUGAAGUCUGUUGAGAGGGGGAGAUCCAAACCAGUUCUAUGAAGAGGGCAAGCAUAUUUUGAAGUCUUGCUCAGCCUCACUGAUGUUUAAAGAUGAUCCGGUCGCAUCCUUGCCUUUCUAAGAAGGCUAUGAAGCUUGUUGAGAGGGGGAGCCCCAAACCGGUUCCAUGAAGAGGUGAAGCUGAGGUGUGAAGUGUGCGCAAAGCUGUGAACUGUUGCUGCACCUAUUAGGCCGUGAUCCAGAGCUUCUUGUGUCCAACCACACUGGUUCUAAGGCACAAGAGCUCACUGGCCAAUCCCUAGGCUUUGGAGAGCUCUACUCUUUUUCCCUUGCAAGGUUUUGUCCCAAUGGGUUUUCCUUGUAAGGUUUUUAAUGAGGGAGACUCUUCAGAGUUCCAAGCUUGGCUUAGGAUCUCCUAAAGUCAAGCUUGAGGGGGAGUGUUGAACUGAAGAGAAGAUAGAGCUUGUACAAUAAUAGGGCAAGCUCUAGAAGAUGUCCAGAAGAGUUCAAUCAAGCUUCAGAGGUGUUCUGAAGUAGUUAUCUUGUGAAGUUAAGUCUAGGAAAGACUUAGACUGAUCUUAAGAAGGCUUUGGAGGAGUUUGGGAGAAGAUGGUCGAAGGUGCAAAGAUAGGGCGUCGGUACGAACCAGUACGGACAGUACGGCCUUGUACGGCCAUGGGCGAACCAAGAAGAGGAAUGGAUCGACUUAGGAAGAAGAAUGGGUGAUGUGCAUACUUAGGGCGAGUGUACGGACCGGUCAGGCCGUACAUCGACCGCACAACACCCGGGACUCGUCCAUUCAUCCGGUUCAGCCAAGUUUAAAGAUGUGCAAGGAUAGGGCGCGGCUUAUCUGAUCUUUUAUGACCGUUGGAGACCUAAGGAGAGAAAGGGAUAUUCCUCAUGAGCUGUGUGGUCCAAAGAGACAGGCUGGAAAGUAAAAAUGGCUUUACCUUUACAGCCUUAUUUCCACACUGUCUCAUCUUGGCCAUUGAUUCAAAAUGAGCCAAUCUCUCCCCUCCAUUCAAAUCAGGCGUGCCUCCCUUGCCAGCUUGCACCAGAACAUCCAAGACCAGCCUUCUCUCAUCCUAGCCAUUCAUUCUAUCUUUUAAUUACAGCCUUAGGAUAUAGGUUUAUGAUCUGAGUCAUGUAAAGGCAUAUAUAAGCCAUUUGUAUGCAUUUUGUAAACUCUAAGAGAGAGAGGGGGAUUUCCCCUCCUCCUUCAUAAUCUUAUGAUACUUUGUCUCUCUAAACUCUCUAGUCUUUGAUUCUGGUUACUUCAAUCUCGUUCUCAAUCUCUAUUCUCUCAAUCUCUCACUUAAUCUCUCAUACACACUCACCAUUCUCUUAUACUUCCAUUAAUCUCUUAUUCUCUUUCAUUGUUGAACAAGAAUCAGUCCCAACCUGUUGAGGUUGAUCCAUCACGCCCACACACAGCCUGUGCUCUGAAAAACUCACAUGGUAUCAGAGCCAGGUUCAUCAGAACUUGGUUCCAGCUUCCGCUCAAGCACAAGCUCACUCCCAUGCCAUUUCAAGCCAAGAAGAAGCUUCAUGGUCCAGCCGGCUGUUCAACCUCUUCAAGAAGAAGAUGUGCUCAUCCAUGGUGUCCAGGAGCUGUCCUUGGUCGUUCUACACUCUCUCAUGUCCGUCCUGAAGAAAGAAAGCCAUUGGAAGCAUGUCCAAGCCUUUCCUAUUCUCUGUCCAAGGANNNNNNNNNNNNNNNNNNNNNNNNNNNNNNNNNNNNNNNNNNNNNNNNNNNNNNNNNNNNNNNNNNNNNNNNNNNNNNNNNNNNNNNNNNNNNNNNNNNNNNNNNNNNNNNNNNNNNNNNNNNNNNNNNNNNNNNNNNNNNNNNNNNNNNNNNNNNNNNNNNNNNNNNNNNNNNNNNNNNNNNNNNNNNNNNNNNNNNNNNNNNNNNNNNNNNNNNNNNNNNNNNNNNNNNNNNNNNNNNNNNNNNNNNNNNNNNNNNNNNNNNNNNNNNNNNNNNNNNNNNNNNNNNNNNNNNNNNNNNNNNNNNNNNNNNNNNNNNNNNNNNNNNNNNNNNNNNNNNNNNNNNNNNNNNNNNNNNNNNNNNNNNNNNNNNNNNNNNNNNNNNNNNNNNNNNNNNNNNNNNNNNNNNNNNNNNNNNNNNNNNNNNNNNNNNNNNNNNNNNNNNNNNNNNNNNNNNNNNNNNNNNNNNNNNNNNNNNNNNNNNNNNNNNNNNNNNNNNNNNNNNNNNNNNNNNNNNNNNNNNNNNNNNNNNNNNNNNNNNNNNNNNNNNNNNNNNNNNNNNNNNNNNNNNNNNNNNNNNNNNNNNNNNNNNNNNNNNNNNNNNNNNNNNNNNNNNNNNNNNNNNNNNNNNNNNNNNNNNNNNNNNNNNNNNNNNNNNNNNNNNNNNNNNNNNNNNNNNNNNNNNNNNNNNNNNNNNNNNNNNNNNNNNNNNNNNNNNNNNNNNNNNNNNNNNNNNNNNNNNNNNNNNNNNNNNNNNNNNNNNNNNNNNNNNNNNNNNNNNNNNNNNNNNNNNNNNNNNNNNNNNNNNNNNNNNNNNNNNNNNNNNNNNNNNNNNNNNNNNNNNNNNNNNNNNNNNNNNNNNNNNNNUGGUGAUUCUCCACUACUCUAUGUAUCUAAAUCAAGCUUUGUACAUCGCGAUUCAUCCUGGUUUGAUUAGAAUGUCGAAGAAGUUGUCAUAUUCCCAAACAGGGAAACUGGGAUCACCUUAUUUGAAAGUUGGAUAACUUCUUCAUCCUAACUCCUAUGAGAUUUAUUCAACUUCCUGGGGAUUCUCUAAACACUUUUGUGUUUAGAGAAUGAUUCAAACAACCAUAGAUACUUAGAUUCAAAGAUUAAAGAGAUUAAGAGAUUUUAGUGAGAGAAUCAAGAGAGAGAGACUCAAAACUCCAUUAAUUGAUUUAAUGUCUCAGAUACAAGAUAUAUAUGAAGAGAUAAUAAGGCUAAUACAAAAGGGAUUUCGAAAUCCAUAAGCAUGUGAGGUCAAUGGACAGGCUGGAGCUCCUUUUGCUUCACAUGCUUGGACAGGCUGUAAAAGUGCUUUACUUUUCCAGCUAUGACCAGACCUUAUCCAAACACCUCCUCCCUUAUCCAGACUCAUCUUGGGCGUGAUCCCCUUUACCAUAAGGGUCCAAUGUAACUUCCCAAGCCUUUACCUUAGUUACCACAGUAAAACUAAAGUUACUGUGGUAAAUUGCCAAAGUUACUCUCUGCCCCAAUACUCUUCCUCUAUCAAUGUAUCUUCUCUCCAUCCUCUUAUCUCAACACUCCCCCUCAAGCUUGACCAUGUAGAACAAGUCAAGCUUGGAAACCAUGAAGAUCUCCCUCAUUAAAAAUCUCACCAAGGAAAACCCAUUGGGAUAAAACCUUGAUGAGGGAAAAAGAGUGGAGACUCCAUGGUUAAGGGGAUCAGCUCCUGGGAGUAAGAUCAAUGAGCCCAAGCCUAGAAAGUAUGGACUCCAUUGUCUUUAAUCUCGCUGCCUUAGUAAACACAUCAGCCAGUUGAUCCUCACUCCUUGUAUAACAUGGCAGAAUCACUCCUAAGAUAAUCAUCUGCCUCACCUUGUGACAAUCCACUUCUAUGUGCUUCGUUCUCUCAUGAAAGACUGAGUUAGAAGCAAUAUGGAUAGCUGCUUGAUUGUCACAGUGCAUUGUCAUAGGAGUACUCUGCUCAAUCUCCAGAUGCUUCAAGAUACCCUUGAUCCACACCAACUCGUUUGUCAACUUCAACAUAGCCCUAUAUUCAGCCUCAGCACUUGAACAAGAGAUGACCUUCUUCUUCUUACUCUUCCAAGUAACCAGGUUCCCUCCAAUGAAUGUACAAUAGCCAGUAGUUGAUCUCCUGUCUGUUGAGAUGAGAGAAUAAAGUGUUGAGAUGAAGUGAUGAAGAGUUGAUACAUGGAUAGAGGAAGAGAGUUGGAGCAGACAGUAACUUUGGAGAUUUACCACAGUAACUUAAUUGUUACUGUGGUAACUGAGUUAAAAGGCUUUGGAAGUUACCUUGCAUCCAUUUGGAGAGUGAAACACGCCAGGAGGAGUCUGGAUAAGCAAGGAGGAGUUUGGAUAAGGUCUGGUCAAUGCUAGAGAGCUUUAGACAGGCUGGCACUAGCUGGAAAGUUAAAGCAAGAUACCCAAGCAUGUGAGGAACCUUAUUGGCUAGUUUAAAUCAAGCAUCUUUGACUACACAUGCUUCUUAUCCUAGCUAGACUGAACCUGGACGUUUUUGUGUAUCUCUUAUCUAUAUAUGUUGUAAACUCUCUCAUUAAUCAAUCUAAUGGAGUUUUGAGUCUCUCUCUCUCUCUUGUUCUUAAUCUCCAAUCUCUUUAAUUCUCAGAUUAAACUUAAUCAUUCUUUAAAUCACAAAAUCUAAUAUGGUAUCAGAGCCAGGUUCCUCUAAAAGGAGAGAGUGAUUUCGUUUUUCAAAUGUUCUUGAGUGUUCUUGAGUGUUCUUUGUGAUUUUAGAGAUGAGAAUAGGUAUUGAGAGAUUAGAAAGAGAUUAUGGUGAGAUUAAGGGAAGAUGGGAUGAUUUAUGAAAUGUAAAAGAGAAACAUGAUGAACUAGAGAGAGAUUAUCAUCAAAUCGUGUUAAUCAUUAAUCAAGACAGAGUUUACAAUAUAUAGGAAGAGACAUAAGGGUUUUCAGAAAGCAUAAGCAUGUGAAGUCAAGGAUAAGGUUUGCUUUAAUUCAAACUGAGCCAAUAGGAGAGGCCACACGCUUUUGGUAUCUUUUACUAAGACUGCUUUUGCCAAUACAGCCUGUCCCAGCCUGUCAAGAUAAGACCCAGCUCCCUUAGCCAUCCAAACGGUCAUCUCUUCAUGGUAAAAUCCCCUUUGUGUUGAGAUGAGGUAAUAAAGAGUGACUAUAUUGAUAGAGAAUGAGGAUUGAGACAGACAGUAACUUUGGAGUUACCACAGUAACUUUGGUUUUACUGUGGUAACUAAGUUAAAGCUUGGAAAGUUACUUUGGCUCACAUUGGAGAGUAAGCCACGACCAAGGAGCUGUAUGGAUAAGGGAGGAGCAGUCUGGAUAAGGUUUAGGGCUGGAUAAGGCUGGAGACAGGCUGGAAAGUAGACAGCAUCUAGUAAAAGAUGCCAAAGGGAUCAAGCAUGUGAAGACUCCCAUUGGCUGCUUUUGGAUGGCUCUCUUUGACUACACAUGCCCUGAACCUCUACCUUAUCUGAUUGAUUUCGAAAUUGUCUCUCUCAUAUAAGUAUGUUGUAAACCUCAUCUUUAAUAAUUAAUGGAGUUUUGAGUCUCUCUCUCUCUAGAAUCUCUCUAUUCUCUCUAAAUUCUACUCUAAUCUUCUCUGAUUAUUAUUAAACACACUCUAAAACACAAAAGUGUUUAUGGUAUCAGAGCCAGGUUGCUCAAAAGGGGGUGAGUGUGUGAUUUCAAUUUCGCAAAUCUGAGUGUUCUUGAGUGUUCUUGAGUGUUCUUGGUGUUCUUGAGUUCUGAUCUUUAUUAUCUGAGUGGUGUGAGAUAUUCUGAUGGAUUCAAACUAUCUCAACAUGGAAAUGAAGCACAGAUCUAGUACAACCAUGGAGCUUGAAGAAGAGAGGGAUGGCGAUUGGUCAAGAUGGGCAAAGAGAGCUUUGGAAAGCUGUGGGUUAUGGUGUGGUCAUGUAAAGGGGAAGCCUUUAGUGGAAAUGGCUACUGAAGAAAGGUCCAAACUUGUGAAGGUCAGUGGAGACAAGAGAGUGAUCCGUGGCUUGAGACAAGGAAAGGAUGAGUUGUAUCAGCUUGUGGGAAGGCUGAGAGAAGGAUGGAUGGAGCUGGAUAUGCUGAGACCAAGCACAGCUGAUCCGAGAGUUAUUAAAGAAAGGAGGAAACAAGAUGUGUUCUUUAGCUUUCUUGUGAAGGAGAUAGGGGUUGUUCUUACUCUUCAAGCGUGUGAUUUGUGGGAAGAGAACAAGAGAUCAAACCAGUGGAAAGGUGGUACAAGCUGUAAGAAGGGAAGGCUGAGAAAGCUUUCUAGAGUGUGGCUUAAGAUGGGAAAGGCUUGGAAGAAGAACAUGGAGUCUGGUUAUCUAAGUGAUAAGAUGAGCUUGAAGAUGAUCAAGGAGGUGGCUCAACAAGUGGUAAGAGGAGAGUGUUCUUACUCUGCCUAUAUGAGUAACUCAGUGGAGGAUAGUAUGGUUAUGAAGGAGCAGGAGAUCAAAGGAGCAGAUGACCCUAUCACAAAGAAAGAAUGGGAUGAGUUUGUCAAGUAUGUGUAUGCUUUGGCUACGACCCGGAGACAAGGUGCUCCUGCCUUAGCAUCCACAUCCAAACCCAUUAUCAUUGAUUCUGGAGCAACACAUCAUAUGAUCAGUGAUAGAAGUCUGAUAAGUGAAGUCAAGGCUGCAACAGGGAGUGUCAUGAUAGCUAAUGGUGCUAGGAUCCCAAUAGAAGGAGUGGGAAACCUCAAGCUGUUUGAGAAGAACUCACCUGCGUUCUAUUUGCCUCAAUUCACUUCAAAUCUGAUAUCAGUGAAGAAGGCCACCGUUGAUCUUGAUUGUCAAGUAGUAUUCAGGCCAAAUGAGGUUGAGUUUCAAGACUUGAAGACUGGGAGAGUUAUUGGUAGAGGGGACAGCAGGAAUCAGUUAUAUCAUCUCCAAACAGCUAAGAACUCUAAUCCUAUUGAUUCUAUAUGCUUGAGUAGUACUGCUGAUAGGUGUGACAGUAUUACUUGGCAUGCUAGAUUAGGACAUCCUCAUGCUCGUGCAAUUGAAUUGAUUAGACCUGAUAUGUCAUUCAAUCACUUGGAAUGUGAAGCUUGCAUCUUAGGGAAGCAUUGUAGAACUGUUUUUCCCACAUCAGAGACCAUAUAUGCAAAUUGCUUUGAUCUUGUUCAUUCAGAUGUGUGGACAGCCCCUUGUAUGUCUAGAGAAAACCAGAAGUACUUUGUGACAUUCAUAGAUGAGAAGUCUAAGUAUACAUGGAUCACAUUGCUGCCAUCUAAGGAUAGAGUGUUUGAGGCUUUUGUCAACUUCCAAGCAUAUGUAACUAACCAUUACAAUGCUACUGUGAAGGUACUACGGUCUGAUAAUGGAGGAGAAUACACCAGUCAUGCCUUCAAGAGUCACUUGGCUAAACAUGGGAUAGUGCAUCAAACCAGUUGUCCUUACACACCACAGCAGAAUGGGGUAGCUGAGAGGAAGAAUAGGCAUCUGAUGGAGGUGGCUAGAUCCAUGAUGUAUCAUGCAAAUGUUCCAAAGAGGUUUUGGGGUGAUGCUGUUCAGACUGCAUGCUAUCUCAUCAAUCGGAUUCCAACUAAGGUAUUGAAGAACCUGUCUCCUUUUGAGGUGCUGAACAAGAGCAAGCCAUACAUAGAUCAUCUGCGUGUCUUUGGAUGUCUAUGUUAUGUCUGGGUUCCAGGAGAACAGAGAAACAAGUUGGAGGCAAAGAGCACUAAAGCAAUGCUCAUUGGAUACUCAGUAACUCAGAAGGGGUACAAGUGCUAUGAUCCAGCAACCAGGAGAGUGUUGGUGUCUAGAGAUGUUAAGUUCAUAGAGACCAAGGGGUAUUAUGAAGAAAAGAAUUGGGAAGAUUUGGAAGAUCUGUCUCAAGAACCAAGAAACAUGGCAGAGAAUCUGAGGAACAUAUUGGAAAGGCUUGGGGUAAACAUGUCCCAGGAUAAGGUUAGAGAACCUGAAAGAACAACUCCCCUUGAUCAUGAGGGGGGUAAUGAGUCUGAAUCAGGAGUGCAAGAGCAGCACCAAGGGGAUUCAGGUCAUCAUGAUCAAGUGGUGACACAAGAAGUAGAGAAUUUUCCUCAGGUCAGUGUGGAUGAGCAAGGAGAGGUUCAUGAUCAAGAGGAGGUGAGUGAGACAGAAACAGAGGUUCAAGCAGAGGUUCAAGCUGAGGAACAGGUUCAACCAUUAAGGAGGAGCACACGGAUAAAGAGGGAUGCUUCCAACUGGGUAAACACGAGAGUAUACUACAAUGCCCAGGCUGUGGAGCAUCCUUCUCAAGCUGUGUGUUCCUUUGUGUUGAGAUGAGGAGUUGAGAUGAAGGCUUAGAGAGGCUUGGGUAAUGAAAGGGAUGAGGAGAUGAAGUUCAGGGUGAAGUGUACGGAGUUACCAUGUCCGUACCAUUUGGAGUUACCACGGUAAAUAAGAGAUUGAACAACAAGAAGGAGGGAAAGGCCAAAGACACUUAUGCAAAGGGAAGGUCACGGCCAAAGAAGGGAGAUGACCGUUUAUGGAUAAGAGGAGGCACGGCUUUACAGCUGGGACAGGCUGUAAAGGUGUUUGGCAUCUGAUCCAAGAUGCUAAAGGGAUCAAACGUGUGAUGGCCCCUAUUGGACGGAUUCAAAACCGGCCAGCUCUUACCAUUUGACUUCACAUGCUUAAGCUACCUUAACCCAUUUCGAAAACCCUAUGUCCUCUAAGUAUAAAUAUGUAAUCUCCUCAUUAAUAAGAGAUCAGACAGUUCUAUCCAAUUAAUCACUCUAGUCUUUCAUAAUGAUUCCUCACUAGUCAUCUAAUCACAUAAUCAUCUCCUUAUUCAUCCUAAAUCAUUCUACUCUUUCACAUACAAACUCAGAUUAUCUAAAACUCUUAUGGUAUCAGAGCCAGGUUACAAAGAAUCUGAGUUCUUAUUUUGAUACACUGAAGAACAAAGGUGAAGCUUUGAAGCCAUCCAAGGAAGAUCAGAGCUCAAGGGUGUUCAUUUGGUGUGUGCGCGAGUUCUAAACAAGUUAAGAUCCAUUCAUACAAGAGUCAUCCGUUCAAAGCUCCAUCCCUCUCAAGUUUUUGAAGUUAAGCUGUGACAAGAUGGAGAACAUGAAGAUGAAAGUGGCGAUUACCUUCAAGGGAAGCAACUACUUGGUUUGGUCCCGGCUGGUGAAGACAACCAUUGGGAGAAAGGGCUUGUGGAGUCAUAUCACAACCGGUGAAGCUCCAAAGCUCAUUACUCAGGAAGAAGACCAAGAGGGGGUCUCAGUUGAUGCUGUAGAGAAGUGGCAGCAGGAAGACAUGGUGGUGAUGUCUGUUCUUCAUGGGUCGUUGGAGCCAGCGAUAUUGGAGGCAUACAGCUACUGUGAGUCAGCCAAGGAGCUGUGGGACACCUUGAAGAAGGUGUAUGGGAACAUUUCGAACCUGAGCCGUGUCUUUGAGGUAAAGCAAGCCAUCAACAAUCUUGCACAAGAAGACAUGGAGUUCACCAAGCAUUUGGGAAGAUUCAGGGCGUUGUGGUCAGAGCUAGAGAUGUUGAGGCCGAGUACAACUGAUCCAGAUCAGUUGAAUGAGAGGCGGGAGCAAGACAAAGUGUUCGGCUUGCUUCUCACACUAAACCCGGCCUACAACAGUCUCAUCAAGCACAUGUUGAGAGCUGAUAAGCUACCUGAUCUAGAGGACGUGUGUGCACAGAUUCAGAAAGAACAAGGCUCCAUUGGACUGUUUGGAGGCAAAGGAGAACUCACAUUGGCAAAUCAUGCGUCCCAAGUGAAUCAGACUGAAGCUCCUCAAGCUAACAAGGCAGUUCAUGGCAAGUAUGAAGACAAGAGGUUCAAUGGGAAUUGUGAUCACUGCAAGAAGCAUGGACACAAGAAGAGUCAAUGCUGGAUACUCCACCCUCACUUGAAAACCGGCUCCACUUGCUCUUCUUCUGAACUGGCCAGUCUGACUUGUUCUUCUACACUAGACUGAACCUCAUCCACUUCUCCACUAGACUGAACCUCAUUGUUCGCAACUUCUUGUGAUGUAUCUUGAUCAUGAAGACCUGAAUCCUCUUGGUUUUGCUCUUGCUCACCAGAUUCAGUUCCAUUCCCCCUCUCAUGAUCAAGAGGAGUUGUUCUUCCAGCUCCACCACUCUGAUUGGGAGACUCCCUCCUUCCGGUUUCCUGAUCCUGGGAUAAUCCUAUCCCGAGCUUCUCUAACAACACUCUCAGUAUUGUUGCCUUAUCAGAUGGAGCUUGAGACAAAUCCUUCAGAUUUUCCCACUCCUUUUCUUCAUAAUAACCUUUUGUUUCAACAAACUUCACUUCUCUAGAUACCAUCACUCUCCUUGCUUCAGGAUCAUAGCACUUGUACCCCUUCUGAGUGAUAGAGUAACCAAUGAACAUAGCCUUAGUACUCUUUGCCUCCAGCUUGUUUCUCUGCUCUCCUGGAACCAUGACAUAGCACACACACCCAAAGACACGUAGAUGAUCAAUGACAGGUUUGCUCUUGUUCAACACUUCAAAUGGAGACAGAUUCUUCAAUAUCUUGGUUGGAACCCGGUUGAUGAGAUAGCAAGCAGUCUGAACAGCAUCACUCCAAAAACGUUUUGGGACAUUUGCAUGAAACAUCAUCGAUCUAGCAACCUCCAUCAAGUGCCUGUUCUUCCUCUCAGCUACACCAUUCUGCUGUGGUGUAUAAGGGCAGCUAGUCUGAUGCACAAUCCCAUGCUUGGCUAGAUGAUUCUUGAAGGCAUUGCUGAUGUAUUCACCUCCAUUAUCUGAUCUCAGUACCUUCACAAUAGCAUUGUAUUGAUUAGAUACAUAUGCUUGGAAGUUCAUAAAUGCUUCUAGCACCCUAUCUUUAGAUGGAAGCAAUGUAAGCCAAGUAUACUUAGACUUCUCAUCAAUGAAUGUCACAAAGUACUUCUGGCUAUCUCUAGACAAACAAGGAGCCGUCCACACAUCUGAAUGAACUAGAUCAAAGCAAUGCUCAUAAGUAGUUUCUGAACUUGGAAACACAGUCCUACAAUGCUUUCCUAAUAUGCAAGCCUCACACUCUAAGUGAUUAAAUGACAUAUUAGGCAUGAUCAAUUCAAUUGCACGAGCAUGAGGAUGUCCCAAUCUAGCAUGCCAAGUCAUACUAUCACACCUAUCAACAGCACUACUUAAGCACACAGAAUCAAGGAGUUUAGAAUUCUUAGCCAUUUGAAGAUGGUAUAGCUGAUUCUUGCUGUCUCCUCUGCCAAUAACUCUCCCAGUCUUCAAAUCUUGAAACUCAACUUCAUCAGGUCUGAAUACUACUUGACAAUCAAGAUCAAUGGUAGCUUUCUUCACAGAUAAUAGAUUUGAAGUGAACUGAGGCAUGUAGAAGGCAGCUGUGUCCUUCUCAAACAGUUUUAGCUUUCCCACUCCUUCUAUUGGGAUCAUGGCACCAUUUGCUAUCAUAACACUCCCUGUUGCAGCCUUGAUCUCACUUAUAAGCCUCCUAUCACUGAUCAUAUGAUGGCUUGCUCCAGAAUCAAUCACAAUGGGUUUAGAAGCUCCGGAUUGUAUAGCAUGCUUCCUGCUUGCUGCUAAGGCUUGUACUUGUUCCAUGAACACUCUCCAUUCUUUCCUGGUGAUGCGAUCAUCAGCUCCACUCCCUUUCUCCUGCUCUUUUAACACCCCACUGUCUUCUACUGAUUCCCCCAUGUAGGCUGAGUAAGAACACUCUCCCACAACUCUCUUCCUACCCUUUCCUAUGUUGAUAGAAGCUUUGGAUAGCAUUCUGCACCUCCUCUUCUUCCGGAAGCCCUCACUCCUACUCCCAGUUAGCCUCCAUGAGCUCUCACUCCUACUCAUGGUUAGCUUCUGGAAGCUCUCACUCCUACUCCCAGUUGGCCUCCAUGAGCUCUCACUCCUACUCAUGGUUAGCCUCUCAUCACCUCUCAUUAUCUCAUACGCCCUUCUUAUAAGCACACAGAUCUCUUCCAUUUCCGGAAGCUGUUCCCCUCUUAGAACCAUCUCCACCAGCCACCCAUAUGAUGACUCCAUGCUCGCCAAGAGCUUCAAGACUGUCGCUUGCUCUUGUGUAGUAUCCCCAUCCACAUGGGAUCUCAACCCUUGUAGUUCAACCCACAAAUGUUGUAGCUUCCUCACAUGAUUAUUGAACCCUUCUCUUCCUGGUUUAACUUCACUAAUCACCUUCUUGACUUCAUACACUCUCCUAAGACUGAUCUUGUUCUCAUAAACAUCUUCAAUCUUCUCAAGCAGUGUACUUUCUUCAAGACUAAAGCAAUCUCCAUUUGUUUCUCUUGCUGUCUGAUCAUUCUCAGCAGCUUUACCCAUCAAAGACUCUUUCUUCUCAUGGUUUCUCCNNNNNNNNNNNNNNNNNNNNNNNNNNNNNNNNNNNNNNNNNNNNNNNNNNNNNNNNNNNNNNNNNNNNNNNNNNNNNNNNNNNNNNNNNNNNNNNNNNNNNNNNNNNNNNNNNNNNNNNNNNNNNNNNNNNNNNNNNNNNNNNNNNNNNNNNNNNNNNNNNNNNNNNNNNNNNNNNNNNNNNNNNNNNNNNNNNNNNNNNNNNNNNNNNNNNNNNNNNNNNNNNNNNNNNNNNNNNNNNNNCUUGUAUAACAUGGCAGAAUCACUCCUAAGAUAAUCAUCUGCCUCACCUUAUGACAAUCCACCUCUAUGUGCUUUGUUCUCUCAUGAAACACCGAGUUGGAGGCAAUGUGGAUAGCUGCUUGGUUAUCACAAUGCAUUGUCAUAGGCGCGGCUUGAUCAAUCUCCAAAUGCUUCAAGAUGCCUUUGAUCCACACCAGCUCGUUGGUAAGCUUCAGCAUAGCUCUAUACUCAGCUUCUGCACUUGAGCAAGAGACCACCUUCUGCUUCUUACUCUUCCAUGUAACCAAGUUGCCUCCAAUGAAUGUGCAAUAGCCGGUUGUUGAUCUCCUGUCAGCUCUAUCUCCUGCCCAAUCAGCAUCACAAUAGCCCACCACUUCAGUGCUUCCAUUGCACCCCAUCCAGACUCCUUGAUCUGGCGAGCCAUUCAGAUACAUCAGCAGCCUCUCCACCAUGUGCCAAUGAUGUUCCUUGGGAAGCUGCAUAUGUUGACUCACCUGAUUCACAGCAAAACAUAUGUCAGGUCUUGUGAUGGUAAGGUAAAUCAAUUUGCCAACAAGUUUUCUAUAGAGUUUAGGAUCAUGAAAUGGCUUGCUGUCUUCAAUCUCCCCCUCUCUUGGUACUUUGUAGCCAUCCUCCAUAGGCAUCCUUGCUGUCUUGCCUCCAUAAGCACCUGCAUCUUUCAAAAGAUCAAGUGUAUACUUCCUUUGGGACAUGAAUAACCCUUCCUUGGAUCUACAAAUCUCAAUUCCAAGAAAGUAUUUCAUUUCUCCCAAAUCUUUGAUUUCAAACAUGGAUUUGAGAAACUCCUUGGUUGCUUUGAUACCCUCCUUAUCACUUCCUGUGAUAAUGAUAUCAUCCACAUACACAAGGAGAGCAACCAUACCUGAGGGUGUAGUGAGGGUGAAAAGUGUGUGAUCUAACUCUGACUUCCUGAAGCCACGUCCAUUCAAGGUUGUGCUCAACUUGUUAUACCACGCUCUUGGUGAUUGCUUCAAGCCAUAGAUAGCUUUCUUUAACCUCAGUACAUUCCCUUUCUUCACUAGAUGUUCUAGGCCUGGUGGAGGAUACAUGUAGACUUCAUCCUCAAGUUCCCCUUGUAAGAAUGCAUUCUUUACAUCCAUUUGCCACAAUCCCCAUCCAAGAUUAACUGCCAAGCUUAGAACAAUCCUAAUGGUGUGUAGCUUAGCUACAGGGGCAAAUGUCUCAAUGUAAUUGUGACACCCCGAUUUACAUAAUAAAAUGUUACGAUAAGUAAAUAGCUCUGAUACCAAAAUGUGACACCCGCCACUUUCAAAAUAAAAUAAAUUGAUAAAAGCGAAAAUAAAAUAAUAAUACAACUCAAAUAAUAAUAAUCUUCUUAUAAUAUAAUAGUCGAUACGGUAACAAAAGGCCUAAAAGCCCAACAUCGAUAACAUCCGAAAUAUAAAAUACGAUAUAAACCAAAAGUCUGAAAUAGGAAUAACGUAGGCGAUAAAAGUCCAAAGGCCUGGAGGCCCGAUAACGAUAAAAGCGAUAAAACGAUAGAAGCCCAAAAGCCCAAUAGCACCAGUCCGAUAAUCACUCCUGCUCGUCGGUCUCACCUGAAAGGGGGAAAUAAGGAGGGGUGAGCGACAGGGGAAUCGCCCAGUGAGGUAUGGGAUGCUAAACCGCAAACCACUGACUCAGUUCAUAGCACUACAACUAUGUAGGCAUAGCUCUAGCAUGAGACAAUCACGGUGCCUAUUACACCACACAAAACAAUCACAUAUGUCUAGUGGACUAGACAUGAUACAACCAAUGCGAUAAUAGCAUAUCACAUUUCCUCAUAAGGAUAUAUAUACUUUACAGGCGUCGCUAGCACAGUAGUCCACACUGCACCCCGCAAAUCUCUAAGGCGUCGUAAGUACAAACGUCUCUGUACCCCCGCAAAUCUCCACAAACAUGGCAGCCAGUGCAAACGUCUCUGCACCCCGCAAAACUCCUCAAACAUAGGCAGCCAGUGCAAACGUCUCUGCACCCCGCAAAUCUCCAAAACAUGGACUCGUAUAUAUAUACAUAUAUAUAACAAUUCUUAACAUCAAUCAUUUCAAUCAACCGUUGAAUCCUCUAUUAUCCUAUUUCCGGUUUAACAAUCAAUAAUAAUAAUAAACAAGCAAGACUCUCAAACAGACUCGAUUCACAGAGACGGAUCAUGUUUCGAAACUAAACUUUCCAUAACGGUAGUACUAAACUAGCUCGGGAUUUAACGGAGUAGCCCUCACCUUAGCAAUGAAGAGAAGUGGUAUAUAUGAACUCCAGCUGCUCAAAUGGACUCCAAAUCUGAAAUCAGAUCGAAAUUUCGAGUCAGAACGCCUUUCGAACGGUUUAAAACGGGUAUUUACGGAAAAGUCAACCCGCUGGUCAAAGAUCAAUUAUUUAAUUAAUUAAUUAAUUGAUUAAUUAAUUAAUUAAUCCGGUUUUCCCUAACCGAUUACCAAUUGAUUUUAACCGACCGGUUUAACCUAACCGAAUCGAAAUCGAUUUAAACCGGUCAAACCACCGGUUAACCGAGUCAACCGAGUUGACUCACCGGGUCGACUCGGCCGAGUUGGCGAGUCGCCGGCGAGUCACCGGUGUCGGUCAUCGGCGGCGACGGCGGAGCUACGGCGGCGGCUUACCGGUAAGUUGGCCGGCGGCGACGGCGGAGCUGCGGCGGAGAACGGUGGUCCGGCGGCGGCGCUGCGGCGGAGGACGGUGGUCCGGCGGCGGCGCGUGGAACUCACGCGCGCGCGGAGGUGAAACUUCCGGAGGCGCGUACGGCUUCGUCCGGGCUCCGAUCGUGACGCGGUUGGUGUCUACGGCUUCGUCUUGACGAGAGGAACACGAUGAUGGCCUUGGAUGCACGAGAUUCACUACGGUUAGAAAGUUAUGACCGAUUUACUAAAACGACCGAAACAUAACUCAAACACAUGGCGGUUUCCGGUUACCUCGAGCUGCGGUUGAUGGUGAUGACGAGCUUGACGACGUCCUGGCGUGCGGUGGCUCCGGCGAGGACUCCUGGUGAGCUCUCUCUCUCUCUCUCUCUCUCUCUCUUUUUAAAGAAACCAAAUGUGGCCUUUGGGGAUAGUUUGGGGUUGGGGUCAUUACAGUAAUCCUCCCCAUAUGUCUGAGUGAACCCUCUUGCUACUAGUCUAGUUUUCUUCCUCUCAAUCUGUCCAUCAGCCUUGUAUUUGAUUGUGAAGAUCCAUCUACUAGACACUGCUUUCUUCCCUUUUGGUAGUUCACUCUCAUACCAUGUAUCAUUCUUUAUCAUAGCUCCUGCCUCAGCUCCUACUGAUUCCUUCCAUUCCUUAUCCUUCAUUGCCUCUUCAUAGCUUCUUGGGAUGUGAUUCUCAUCGAAGUUUACCAUGAAGGCACAAUGUGCUUCUGGAUAUUGAGCAAAGGAGCACACGGCUUGAGAGGGAUGCUCCACAGCUUGGGCAUUGUAGUACACUCUCGUGUUUACCCAGCUAGAAGGAUCCUUCCUUAUCCUUGUACUCCUUCUUAGUGGUUGCACAACCGGUUCUUCUUCCUGUUGUUCUUCUACCACUUCGUUUUGAGAAGGUGUUUGUAUCACACCAUGAUCAUGCCCAUGACCAUCAGAGCCUAUGCUCUCUUCUCCUUCAUCCUCUACUCCUCCAUCAUCUUGGUUAGCCUCUUACAUAGGCUCUUCAUGCUCCUCUCCUCCCUCAUGAUCAAGGUGGGAUGGUGAACCAACUUCAGGAGGUGUAGUCGUGUGAUCUCUUGGAUCCUGGGAUGUACUGAUUCCAAGACCUUCAAGGAUGAUCCGCAAGGUGGUGGCCUUGUCUGAUGUCAAGUCCUUCAGGUCUUCUUGAUUCUUUUCUUCAUAGUACCCUCUAUCUUCUAAGAACUUCACGUCUCUAGAUACAAGUACUCUUCUUGCUAUAGGAUCAUAGCACUUGUAUCCUUUCUGUGUAGCUGAGUAUCCUAUGAAUACAGCCUUAGUACUUCUUGCUUCUAGCUUGUUGCGCAUCUCUCCUGGUUUGAGCACAAAGCAUAGACAUCCAAAGACUUUCAAGUAAUCAAGAACUGGCUUGUACUUGUUUAGAACUUCAAAUGGAGCCUUCUCAUUCAGAAUCUUGGUUGGAGUUCUAUUGAUCAAGUAACAAGCAGUGGCAACUGCAUCACUCCAAAAUCUCUUUGGGACGUUACUCUGAAACAUAAGUGACCUUGCUACUUCCAUGAGGUGCCUAUUCUUCCUCUCAGCCACUCCAUUUUGCUGUGGAGUAUACGGACAGCUUGUUUGAUGUAGAAUCCCAUAUUGUGAUAAGUGCUGCUUGAAUGCAUUGCUUGUGUACUCUCCUCCAUUAUCUGAUCUCAAAAUUUUAAUCUUAGCAUGAUAAUGGUUAGUCACAUACGUUUGAAAGUUCCUAAAUGCAUCAAGUACCCUAUCUUUGGUCUGAAUUAAGGUUAACCAGGUGUAUUUGGAUUUUUCAUCAAUGAAUGUGACAAAAUACUUAUAGCUAUCUCUAGAUAAGCAAGGGGCAGUCCAUACAUCUGAAUGAACUAGAUCAAAGCAAUUCUCAUAAACAGUAGUAGACUUUUGAAACACAGUUCUACAAUGCUUGCCUAAGAUGCAAGCUUCACAAUUUUUGUUUUCAAACACAACACCUGGUACCAUUAAGUUCAAAGCUUUAACAUGAGGGUGUCCUACUCUAGCAUGCCACAAUGCAUGUUUAUUCAACAAAGAAGCAGAAGUAAACGAGCAACUAUAAUCAGGAACAGAAGUGAGUUCUUCAAGCAUAUAGAGAUCUCCUUUAGUCACCCCUUUCCCAAUCAAUCUGCUGCUCUCAAUAUCCUGAAACUUCACAUCAUUAGGACUAAAGAUAACAUUGCAUUGUAAAUCAUUAGUACAUUUCUUUACAGAUAAUAGGUUUGAUGUGAAUUCAGGCAUGUAAAAGGCUUUAGAUUCUUUGUUAAACAACUUAAGCUUUCCUAUUCCCUUAAUAGGUAUCUUAUCUCCAUUUGCUAUCAUCACAUGUCCAUGAGUAGGUUCUAUAUCCUUAAUCAGUUUCUCAUCACUUAUCAUAUGAUGUGAUGCACCAGAAUCAACAAUCAAUGGUUUAUCUACUCGUUUAGCAUUAUGACAUAGAUUACUAAGUGAUGAAUGCAUCCUAUCAUUUCUAGCAAUGUGUGCACAUCUAUACUCAUUCCUAGCCUCUAACCGUUCUACUAGUUCUCUAAUCAAGUGAUCAUCCUUAUAUGCAAUCAUAGAUGCUCCAAAGGAAUAACCAUAAGUGUUACCGUUUUCCUUUAGCAUUUUGAAGAGCGCAUCAAGGUCUGAUCUCCUGAUGUAGUCAUCAUUGCUGCGUGAGCUUGAGGCGCCUGUGUAAGCCACCAGAGACUUCCCAUUCCCAUCAUUGCCUCCAUGACCAUCCACUUCACUUGUCUUGAUGGUGCCAGCUCCACUUGAUCCUUCAGUCACAUUUUCCCUUCCCUCACGCUCCUUCAUGAACUUGGCCGGCUUGAGGUGUGGGUGUAGUAUCCAGCAUUGGCUCUUCUUAUGACCAUGCUUCUUGCAAUGAUCACAGUUGCCAUUGAACUUCCUGUCCUCAUACUUCCCGUGAGAUGCCUUGUUUGCUUGUGGAGCUUCGGUCAAGUCCUCAUGAGCUGCUUGAUUGGCAAGAGAGAGCUCCCCCUUUCCUCCAAACAACCCCAUAGACCCCUGCUCCCUUUGGAUUUGCGCACACACAUCCUCAAGGUCCGGAAGCUUGUCAGCUCUCAACAUGUGCUGGAUGAGUUGAGUGUAGGCCGGGUUCAGCGUGAGAAGCAGCCCAAAGACCUUAUCUUGCUCACGCCUCUCAUUCAGCUGAUCAGGAUCAGUUGUGCUCGGCCUCAGCAUCUCCAGUUCUGACCAUAAGGACCUGAACCUUCCCAAGUGCUUAGUGAACUCCAUAUCCUCUUGCACUAGACGGUUGAUAGCUUGCUUUACUUCAAACACACGGCUGAGGUUGGAGAUGUUCCCAUACACCUUCUUCAGCGUGUCCCACAGCUCUUUGGCUGACUCACAGUAGCUGUAGGCAUCUAAGAUAGCUGGAUCCAAGGAUGCGUGUAGAACCGUCAUCACCAGCAUGUCUUCUUGUUGCCAUUUCUCAACAGCCGCUUCAUUGGAGACCUCUUCUUGAUCUCCUCCCUGAGUAAUGAGUUUCGGAGCCUCCCCUGUUGUGAUGUGCCCCCACAAACCCUUACUUCCCACAGCAGUCUUCACCAUCCGAGACCACACAAGAUAGUUGUUACCUUUGAAAGUAACCGCUACCUUCAUCCUCAUGUUCAUACCAUGUUCCAUCUUUGCUUAGCUUGACUUGAACAACUUGAAUCUGAUGAAAUCUUGAGUCUUGAAUCACGUACACACACCAAUCUUGAGUCUAGGAUCGCACACACACACCGAACGUAGCACAGCCCAAACACCUUCAAAGCCACUCGCGUGUAGCUUCAAAGCCUUCAGCUUGUAAAUCUCUAAAGAUCAAACCCCAGAUCCUAAUGAACCUGGCUCUGAUACCAUAUGAGAUUUAGAGAUCCUUAGAGUAACUAGAGUAUAAGUGAGAGUUUAAGUAGAGAUUAGAAAGAGAUUGUGAAAGAUUAAGAGACUUGAGAGCUGUUUAGUGUCUAAGAGAGAAUCAUGGUGCCUUAAGAGAUUAGAGAGAGACUCAGAACUGUCUGGCUUUAUUAAUGAGUGAGGUUACAUAUUUAUAUUGUUCUAGACAUUAGGGUUUUCGAAACACAAGAGUAGAUAAGCAUGUGAGGUCAAGGGAGGAGCCUUUGCUUUUGUUUGAACCGGCCAAUGACUGUCCUCACACGUUCGGGCAUCUUCCUGAUCCAAGUCCAAGAUGCUCUUCCUUUCCAGCCCUUGCCAGCCUGUCCUAGCUGUCAAGCCGCGCCUCCCUUAUCCACUCCAACGUCUGGAUAAGCUUUUGGUCAAGUGUAACUUCACCUCGGUCCAUACGAGUUACUCGGUGAAGUUACCAUCCUAGUUUUACCUUGGUACGGUCAGUGUACGGAUGGCCCGUCCAUACCAUGCCUUAGCUCACUCUUCACUCCCUUUCCUUUCACUCCUUAGCUUUCUCAUGUCCUUAACUCCUCAAUGCCUUCACAUAUACCUCAACACAUCUCAACACCUUAGUGGCCUGAAUCCCUGCCUUAUCACUUCCUGUGAUAAUCAAAUCAUCCACAUAUACUAGAAUCACAAUGCUCCCUGAAGGUCCUGUCAAGGUGAAGAGAGUGUGAUCUAGUUCAGACUUCCUAAAGCCUCUCCCAUUGAGUGUUGUACUCAGCUUCCUGUACCAAGCUCUAGGUGACUGCUUCAACCCAUAUAUUGCUUUUUUCAAUCUCAAAACAUUCCCUGGCUUUACUAGAUGCUCAAGACCAGGAGGUGGAUGCAUGUAUACUUCAUCUUCAAGUUCACCUUGCAAGAAAGCAUUCUUCACAUCCAUUUGCCACAAAUCCCACUCCAAGUUUGUUGCAAUGGAUAACACAAUUCGAAUUGUGUGAAGCUUGGCCACUGGUGCAAAAGUAUCAAUGUAAUCUUCCCCAUAAGUCUGUGUAAAUCCUCUUGCAACUAGCCUAGUCUUGCGCCUAUCUAUCUCCCCAUUUGCAAGAUACUUGAUGGUGAAGAUCCAUCUGCUUGAAACUGCCUUCUUCCCUUUAGGUAACUCACUCUCAUACCAAGUAUCAUUCCUGAUCAUUGCAUCCCUUUCAUCUCCUACUGAAUCUCUCCAAACCUUGUGCUCAAUAGCUUCUUCAUAAGAUCUUGGUAUCUCAUUCUCAUCCAAGUUACACAUAAACACCAUGUGCUCUUCUGGAUAUUCUGCAAAGGAACAUACGGCUUGAGAAGGAUGCUCCACAGCCUGGGCAUUGUAGUACACUCUCGUGUUUACCCAGUUGGAAGCAUCCCUCUUUAUCCUUGUGCUCCUUCGCAAAACCUGAACCUGAUCCUCAGCUUGAACCUCUGCUUGAACCUCUGUUUCUGUCUCACUCACCUCCUCUGGAUCAUGAACCUCUCCCUGCUCAUUCACACCGACCUGAGGAACAUUUUCUACUUCUUGUCUCACCUCUUGAUCAUGAUGACCUGAAUCCUCUUGGUGCUGCUCUUGCACUCUUGAUUCAGACUCCAUUCCCCCCUCAUGAUCAAGGGGAGUUGUUCUUUCAACUUCUCUAACCUUAUCUUGGGACAUGUUUACCCCAAGCCUUUCCAAGAUGUUCCUCAGAUUCUCUGCCAUGUUUCUUGGUUCUUGAGACAGAUCUUCCAAGUCUUCCCAAUUCUUUUCUUCAUAAUACCCCUUUGUCUCUAUGAACUUAACAUCUCUAGACACCAGCACUCUCCUGGUUGCUGGAUCAUAGCACUUGUACCCCUUCUGAGUUACUGAGUAUCCAAUGAGCAUUGCUUUAGUGCUCUUUGCCUCCAACUUGUUUCUCUGUUCUCCUGGAACCCAGACAUAACAUAGACAUCCAAAGACACGCAGAUGAUCUAUGUGUGGCUUGCUCUUGUUCAGCACUUCAAACGGAGACAGAUUCUUCAAUACCUUAGUUGGAAUCCGAUUGAUAAGAUAGCAUGCAGUCUGAACAGCAUCACCCCAAAACCUCUUUGGAACAUUUGCAUGAUACAUCAUGGAUCUAGCCACCUCCAUCAGAUGCCUAAUCUUCCUCUCAGCUACCCCAUUCUGCUGUGGUGUGUAAGGACAACUGGUCUGAUGCACUAUCCCAUGUUUAGCCAAAUGAUUCUUGAAGGCAUGACUGGUGUAUUCUCCUCCAUUAUCAGACCGUAGUACCUUCACAGUAGCAUUGUAAUGGUUAGUUACAUAUGCUUGGAAGUUGACAAAAGCCUCAAACACUCUAUCCUUAGAUGGCAGCAAUGUGAUCCAUGUAUACUUAGACUUCUCAUCUAUGAAUGUCACAAAGUACUUCUGGUUUUCUCUAGACAUACAAGGGGCUGUCCACACAUCAGAAUGAACAAGAUCAAAGCAAUUUGCAUAUAUGGUCUCUGAUGUGGGAAAAACAGUUCUACAAUGCUUCCCUAAGAUGCAAGCUUCACAUUCCAAGUGAUUGAAUGACAUAUUAGGUUUAAUCAAUUCAAUUGCACGAGCAUGAGGAUGUCCUAAUCUAGCAUGCCAAGUAAUGUUAACUUGAAGAGAAGAAGUGGAGAAGCAAAAGUGAUGAGUUGAGUUGGUGCUUGUGCAAAGACAUGGCAAGAUCUUCAGAGAUUGUAUGUUAAGGCUUUGGGAGAGUCUUAAGGCUUCAGAAGUGGUCUGAUGAGUGUGCAAAGAUAGGGUUAAGUCCAGGAGGGACUUAGACACCAUUUAGAGAAGAUUUGGGUCAGACAGUAACUCUAAAGUUACCACAGUAACUUUAGAGAGUUACCACAGUAAGAUUUGAGAAGUUUGGGCAAGUUGGUGUAAAAGUGAAUAGUGAAUCACUAGUCACUAUUCAGGUUGACUAUUCACUAUUUGGGUCACUAUUUAUGAUGUGAAGAGUGCAUAGUAUAUGGAUAAGGCACCAAGGUUUGAAUCUAGUCAAAGGGAAUCAAGAAGAUGCUUUGUGGAGGCAAACAACCAAUGGGAGCUUCCUUGUGUGUGAUUGGCUAGUUCUGGUCUUGGACAGGCUGUCUCUUGCUGUAAAGAGAAGGGAGCUGUAAUGACCCACCAUCUCCACUAUCCCCACCAUCUCCACCAUCCCCACCAUCUCCACCAUCUCCAUUAUCUCCACCAUCUCCACUUCUUUAAAGAGAGAGAGAGAGAGAGAGAGAGAAAGAGAGAGAGAGAAAGAGAGAGAGAAAGAGAGAGAAAGCUCACCUGAGCUCGUCGCCGGAGCCACCGCACGCCAGGACGUCGUCAAGCUCGUCAUCACCAUCAACCGCAGCUCGAGGUAACCGGAAACCGCCAUGUUUUGAGUUAUGUUUCGGUCGUUUUAGUAAAUCGGUCAUAACUUUCUAACCGUAGUGAAUCUCGUGCAUCCAAGGCCAUCAUCGUGUUCCUCUCGUCAAGACGAAGCCGUAGACACCAACCGCGUCACGAUCGGAGCCCGGACAAAGCCGUACGCGCCUACGGAAGUUUCACCUCCGCGCGCGCGUGAGUUCCACGCGCCGCCGCCGGACCACCGUCCUCCGCCGCAGCGCCGCCGCCGGACCACCGUUCUCCGCCGCAGCUCCGCCGUCGCCGCCGGCCAACUUACCGGUAAGCCGCCGCCGUAGCUCCGCCGUCGCCGCCGAUGACCGACACCGGUGACUCGCCGGCGACUCGCCAACUCGGCCGAGUCGACCCGGUGAGUCAACUCGGUUGACUCGGUUAACCGGUGGUUUGACCGGUUUAAAUCGAUUUCGAUUCGGUUAGGUUAAACCGGUCGGUUAAAAUCAAUUGGUAAUCGGUUAGGGAAAACCGGAUUAAUUAAUUAAUUAAUCAAUUAAUUAAUUAAUUAAAUAAUUGAUCUUUGACCAGCGGGUUGACUUUUCCGUAAAUACCCGUUUUAAACCGUUCGAAAAGCGUUCUGACUCGAAAUUUCGAUCUGAUUUCAGAUUUGGAGUCCAUUUGAGCAGCUGGAGUUCAUAUAUACCACUUCUCUUCAUUGCUAAGGUGAGGGCUACUCCGUUAAAUCCCGAGCUAGUUUAGUACUACCGUUAUGGAAAGUUUAGUUUCGAAACAUGAUCCGUCUCUGUGAAUCGAGUCUGUUUGAGAGUCUUGCUUGUUUAUUAUUAUUAUUGAUUGUUAAACCGGAAAUAGGAUAAUAGAGGAUUCAACGGUUGAUUGAAAUGAUUGAUGUUAAGAAUUGUUAUAUAUAUGUAUAUAUAUACGAGUCCAUGUUUUGGAGAUUUGCGGGGUGCAGAGACGUUUGCACUGGCUGCCUAUGUUUGAGGAGUUUUGCGGGGUGCAGAGACGUUUGCACUGGCUGCCAUGUUUGUGGAGAUUUGCGGGGGUACAGAGACGUUUGUACUUACGACGCCUUAGAGAUUUGCGGGGUGCAGUGUGGACUACUGUGCUAGCGACGCCUGUAAAGUAUAUAUAUCCUUAUGAGGAAAUGUGAUAUGCUAUUAUCGCAUUGGUUGUAUCAUGUCUAGUCCACUAGACAUAUGUGAUUGUUCUGUGUGGUGUAAUAGGCACCGUGAUUGUCUCAUGCUAGAGCUAUGCCUACAUAGUUGUAGUGCUAUGAACUGAGUCAGUGGUUUGCGGUUUAGCAUCCCAUACCUCACUGGGCGAUUCCCCUGUCGCUCACCCCUCCUUAUUUCCCCCUUUCAGGUGAGACCGACGAGCAGGAGUGAUUAUCGGACUGGUGCUAUUGGGCUUUUGGGCUUCUAUCGUUUUAUCGCUUUUAUCGUUAUCGGGCCUCCAGGCCUUUGGACUUUUAUCGCCUACGUUAUUCCUAUUUCAGACUUUUGGUUUAUAUCGUAUUUUAUAUUUCGGAUGUUAUCGAUGUUGGGCUUUUAGGCCUUUUGUUACCGUAUCGACUAUUAUAUUAUAUGAAGAUUAUUAUUAUUUGAGUUGUAUUAUUAUUUUAUUUUCGCUUUUAUCAAUUUAUUUUAUUUUGAAAGUGGCGGGUGUCACAGGAGCCACGACCAUGAACCUGGACAGAUGCAUGGGAAGAUUAGGAGGAGCCUAAGGAGAGCCAAUCACAAGCAAAGAGCCAGCUUGCCUUGGUUUGAAUUAAAGUGAGCCAGCUUAGCUUAUCCAAUCAGCACACAUCACUCAGAUUGCAACAAGACCAACUCAUCCCCACCAUCCAUUCCUCUUAAGUUAUUUCUAUCCAUUAGAUAUAGGUUUAUGAGUUUGCAAGAGUGUAAAACCUAUAUAAAGACCCUCAUGGGCGUUUGUAACUCUCUUAAGAGAGUAUGGGGGGUUUCCCCAUCUCCUUCAUAAUUAUAAAAGUGUGUUCUUGAUCAGAUUCCCUUAAUCUACCUCUUUCUUAGUCUCUAAUCUUCUUAAUCUCUCAAAGUCUCUUUGUUUCUGAUUCAAGUUCAUACUAGUUUCAUCAAACCUCUUAUUCAACUAGUUCAAGACCUUAUCUUUGCCUUUAAUGGCUUUUCAUACACAUACACAGCCAGAACUCUCAAAUCUCACAUGGUAUCAGAGCCAGGUUUGUUGAGAUGAGUUGAGACAUAUGAGAUAAGAGGUAAAGACACAAAGGAGUUGAGGACAUAAAGAGGGCAAAGGAGUUAAGAGAAGAAAUGGGUUGAUAGGGAUGGUACGGACGGAUAGGCCGUACCAUUGGCCGUACAAAGGUAAAAGCGGCCAAGUAACUCUCCGGGUAACUUACAUGGACUUACUUGAAGUUACACUUGACCAAGACCUUAUCCGAACAUUGGAGAGGAUAAGGGAGGCGCGGCUUGACAGCUAGGACAGGCUGGCAAGAGCUGGAAAGGAAGAGCAUCUAGUCUUGGAUCAAGAAGAUGCUUCAAACGUGUGGAGACUAUCAUUGGCCGGUUCAAACUAAAGCACCAGCUCCUCUUUGACUCUACAUGCUUGCUUAUCCUUAUGAUUUCGAAAACCCUAAUGUGUAUGGACCUAUAUAUAUUGUGAGCUCAUCAUUAAUACGAAUCAGACAGUUCUAAACAAUUAAUCUCUCUAGACUUUUCAUAAUGAUUCUCCAUUAGUCUCUUAAUCUCUUAAGCUACACAAAUCUCUUCCUUAUUCUCAUCUAAACUCAGAUUAUCUUUUACAUUACUUAAAACUCUUAUGGUAUCAGAGCCAGGUUGAUUUCAAUCUGAGUUCUUGGUGUUUUUCUCUUCAAGAUUCAAACUUAAAACUUUAAGAGAUCAAGUGAGUGUGUUUGAAGUGUUCGUGGAAGAAUCUACAUCACGGGGGUUUCAUCUACGUUAGGGGGUUCUUAUCUGGAUCUUUGGAGGUUCUUUGAAGGUGAAAGACAAGACACGAGGGGUUUGAAGCUGGUGGUGUGGUUCUAAGACUCAAGAUCAAGUCUUCUACAAGUUAUUAAGGUGAAACUGUUGAAGAUGGAAAGCGGUACAAAGAUGAAGGUUGCUGUGACUUUCAAGGGAAGUAACUACCUAGUAUGGUCUAGGAUGGUGAAGACUGCUGUGGGAAGCAAGGGUUUAUGGAAGCAUAUCACGUCUGGUGAAGCUCCAAAGCUCAUUACCCAAGGAGGAGACAAGGAGAGUGUCUCGGAAGCUGAAGCUGAGAAGUGGCAACAAGAGGACUUGAUGGUGAUGUCUGUUCUUCAUGCCUCAUUGGAGCCGUCCAUUCUUGAUGCUUACAGCUAUUGUGAGACAGCCAAGGAGCUGUGGGAAACAUUGAAGAAGGUGUAUGGAAACACAUCUAACCUUAGCCGGGUCUUUGAAGUGAAGAAGGCUCUAAAUGGCUUAGCUCAAGAGGACAUGGAGUUCACUAAGCAUUUGGGAAGGUUCAGGACACUCUGGUCAGAGUUGGAGAUGCUAAGGCCAAGCACAACCUCUAAAUGGCUUAGCUCAAGAGGACAUGGAGUUCACUAAGCAUUUGGGAAGGUUCAGGACACUCUGGUCAGAGUUGGAGAUGCUAAGGCCAAGCACAACUGAUCCGGAGCUUCUAAAUGAAAGGAGGGAGCAGGAUAAGGUCUUUGGGUUGUUGCUUACAUUGAAUCCGAGCUACAAUGGGCUGAUCAAGCAUGUGCUGAGGGCUGAGAAACUCCCUGAUCUGGAGGAUGCGUGUGCUCAGAUACAAAAGGAGCAAGGCUCCAUUGGCUUGUUUGGUGGCAAAGGAGACCUGUCUCUAGCAAAUGCUGCGCAAACUGAUCAUGAAGAGACUCCACAAGCUAAUAAGGCAGCACACAGCAAGUAUGAGGAUAGGAAGUUCAAUGGCAACUGUGAUCACUGCAAGAAGCAUGGACACAAGAAGAGUCAGUUCUGGAUACUUCAUCCCCACCUAAAGCCGGCAAAGUUCAUGAAGGAAAGGGAGGCAAGAGCCCACGCAUCUGAGGGAACAAGUGGAGCUGGGUCAUCUAACCGUGGAGCUGAAGGAGAAGGUCGUGAGGGUGGCUGGAUACUUCAUCCCCACCUAAAGCCGGCAAAGUUUAUGAAGGAAAGGGAGGCAAGAGCCCACGCGUCUGAGGGAACAAGUGGAGCUGGGUCAUCUAACCGUGGAGCUGAAGGAGAAGGUCGUGAGGGUGAUGGCAAGGCACUGGUGACAUACUCAGGAGCUCCUAACAACCGUGGCAAUGAUCAUGACUACAUCAGGAGGUCCGAGAUGGAUGCUCUCAUCAAAAUGCUCAAGGAGAACGGUAACACUCAUGGGUACUCCUUUGGUGCGUCUAUGAUAGCUACAUCUGCCUUUGUUGAUGACAUUGCUAGGAUUAAUAGGAUUAAGAGUAAUGAGAACUUUAGAAAUGAGUACACCUUUGCUAGAAAUGCUAGGAUGAAUCAUGAGUCCAAUGCAUUUAGAUCACCUUUGAACCUGUGUAACAAUGCUAGCAACAUAACUAAACCAUUAAUUGUUGAUUCUGGUGCAUCUCAUCACAUGAUUAGUGAUACAAAUCUUAUUAAGGAUAUAGAACCAACUAAUGGACAUGUUAUGAUUGCAAAUGGAGACAAGAUACCUAUUAGAGGAAUAGGAAACUUGAAAUUGUUUGAUAAGAAUACUAGAGCUUUCUAUAUGCCUGAAUUUACAUCUAACUUGCUAUCUGUUAAGAAAUGCACAACUGAUUUGAAUUGCAAUGUUAUAUUCAGUCCUAAUGAUGUAAAGUUUCAGGAUAUUGAGAGCAGCCAAUUGAUUGGAAAAGGAAUCACUAAAGGAGAAUUAUACUUGCUUGAAGAACUUGAUCCUAUUUCCAAUCACAAUUGUUCAUUCACCUCUGCUUCUAGUUUAAAUAAAAAUGCUUUGUGGCAUGCUAGAUUAGGACACCCUCAUGGAAGGGCUUUGAACUUGAUGUUACCAGGUGUUUCAUUUGAAAAUAAGGAUUGUGAAGCUUGCAUUUUAGGCAAGCAUUGUAAAAUUGUGUUUCCAAACUCUACUAGUGUUUAUGAUAAGUGUUUUGACUUGAUUCAUUCUGAUGUUUGGACUGCACCUUGCAUAUCUAGAGAUAAUCAUAAAUACUUUGUCACAUUCAUUGAUGAAAAAACUAAAUACACCUGGUUAACUUUAAUUCCAUCAAAAGAUAGGGUGAUAGAUGCAUUUAAGAACUUUCAAACUUAUGUGACUAACCAUUACAAUGCCAAGAUUAAAAUUUUGAGAUCAGAUAAUGGAGGAGAGAGUACACAAGCUAUGCGUUCAAGAGUCAUCUAAGUCACCAUGGAAUCUUGCAUCAAACAAGCUGCCCUUACACACCUCAACAGAAUGGUGUGGCUGAGAGGAAAAACAGGCACUUGAUGGAGGUUGCUAGAUCACUAAUGUUCCAAGCAAAUGUCCCAAAGAGAUUUUGGAGUGAUGCUGUGGCCACUGCUUGCUACUUGAUCAAUAGAAUUCCUACAAAGGUCUUAAAGGAUCAAGCACCAUUUGAAGUUCUAAACACGCACAAGCCAUCAGUGGACUACUUGAGAGUUUUUGGAUGCUUAUGUUAUGUGUUGGUACCAGGAGAGUUGAGGAACAAGUUAGAAGCAAGAAGCACUAAGGCAAUGUUCAUUGGUUACUCAACAACACAAAAGGGAUACAAGUGCUAUGAUCCAGAUACUAGAAGAGUUCUGACCUCUAGAGAUGUGAAGUUCAUAGAAGCAAGAGGAUACUAUGAAGAAAAGAAUCAAGAGGAUCUAAAGGAUUUGACAUCAGAUAAGGCCGGAGCUUUGAGAAUGAUCUUGGAAGGUCUAGGCAUCAAGAUGAACCAGGAUCCGAAUGUUGAUGGUGGAAACCAACAAGCAAGCUCCGGAGCACCUGUUGGAGUUGAUCAAACACCUCACCUUGAUCAUGAGGGGGGAAGUGAGCCUGAAACUCAAGAAAAUGGCCAAGAUGGAGCCGGCUUGGGUGAAGAAGGAGAAGAGAGUAACUCAGGCUCUCAUAAUCAAGGUGACCAAAGACAAGAAGAUGUAGAAGCUCAGGUUGAAGUACAAGAGCCGAGUGUCCAAGAUGAGCUGGUUCAAGAUCAGCCAGUAUUGAGAAGAAGCACAAGGCUGAGAAAGGAUCCUUCUAGCUGGGUAAACACGAGAGUGUACUACAAUGCCCAGGCUGUGGAGCAUCCUACUCAGGCCGUGUGUUCCUUUGCUCAAUAUCCUGAAGAGCAUUGUGCUUUUAUGGUGAACUUGGAUAAGAAUUAUAUUCCAAAGAGCUAUGAAGAGGCAAUGUUAGAUAAGGAGUGGAAGGAAUCAGUGAGAGCUGAGGCAGGAGCUAUGGUAAAAAAUGAUACAUGGUAUGAGAGUGAACUACCUAAGGGAAAGAAGGCAGUAUCAAGUAGAUGGAUCUUCACAAUCAAGUACAAGGCUGAUGGGCAAAUUGAGAGGAAGAAGUCAAGACUGGUUGCAAGAGGCUUCACACAAACCUAUGGAGAGGAUUACAUUGAGACAUUUGCACCAGUAGCUAAGCUACAUACAAUCCGGAUUGUACUAAGUUUAGCUGUGAACCUUGGAUGGGGCUUAUGGCAAAUGGAUGUGAAGAAUGCUUUUCUACAAGGAGAGCUUGAGGAUGAAGUCUAUAUGCAUCCUCCACCAGGCCUUGAACACUUAGUGAAGAAGGGAAAUGUGUUGAGAUUGAAGAAAGCCAUCUAUGGAUUGAAGCAAUCACCAAGAGCUUGGUACAACAAGCUGAGUACUACCUUGAAUGGCCGAGGCUUCAAGAAGUCUGAACUAGAUCACACUCUCUUCACUUUUACCACUCCCUCAGGUAUGAUAGCCCUCCUUGUGUAUGUUGAUGAUAUCAUUAUCACAGGAAGUGAUAAGGAAGGUAUCAUAGCAACCAAGGAGUUCCUUAAAUCCAUGUUUGAGAUUAAAGACUUGGGAGAAAUGAAAUACUUUCUUGGAAUUGAGAUAUGUAGAUCCAAGGAAGGUUUAUUCAUGUCCCAAAGGAAGUAUACACUUGAUCUUUUGAAAGGUGCAGGUGCUUAUGGAGGCAAGACAGCAAGGAUGCCUAUGGAGGAUGGCUACAAAGUCCCACGAGAGGGGGAGAUUGAAGACAGCAAACCUUAUCAGGAUCCUAAACUCUAUAGAAAACUAGUUGGUAAAUUGAUUUACCUUACCAUAACUAGACCUGACAUUUUUUUUGCUGUGAAUCAGGUGAGUCAACACAUGCAAGUGCCUAAGGAGCAUCACGAUUGGUCAAGAUGGGCAAAGAGAGCUUUGGAAAGCUGUGGGUUAUGGUGUGGUCAUGUAAAGGGGAAGCCUUUAGUGGAAAUGGCUACUGAAGAAGGUCAGACAAGGAAUCUGAAAGGUGAAGAUGAAGCUGAUCAAGAAACCACUUUGGAGAGUGGGAUUGAAGAAGCUUAUGUAGAAAGGUCCAAACUUGUGAAGGUCAGUGGAGACAAGAGAGUGAUCCGCGGCUUGAGACAAGGAAAGGAUGAGUUGUAUCAGCUUGUGGGAAGGCUGAAAGAAGGAUGGAUGGAGCUGGAUGUGCUGAGACCAAGCACAUCUGAUCUGAGAGUUAUUAAAGAAAGGAGGAAACAAGAUGUGUUCUUUAGCUUUCUUGUGAAGGAGAUAUGGUUUCUGGUUUGGAGAUUGAUCAAGCCACACCAAUGACAAUGCAUUGUGAUAACCAAGAAGCUAUCCACAUUGCCUCCAACUCCGUGUUCCAUGAGAGAACCAAGCACAUUGAAGUUGAUUGUCACAAAGUGAGGCAGAUGAUUAUCCUAGGAGUCAUCCUGCCAUGCUACACUAGGAGUGAAGAUCAGUUGGCUAAUGUGUUCACUAAGGCUGCGAGACACAAGACUAUGGAGUCCAUUCACAUUAGAUUGGGACUCAUAGAUCUUGGGAAGAGAAGGAGCUGAUCCCCUAAGUCAUGAGGUCUUUACUCUUUUUCCCUCAUCAAAGUUUUGUCCCAAUGGGUUUUCUUUGGUGAGGUUUUUAAUGAGGAAGAUCUCAUGGCUAGCCAAGCUUAGACUUUCACAAAGCUAAGCUUGAGGGGGAGUGUUGAGAUGAGUUGAGACAUAUGAGAUAAGAGGUAAAGACACAAAGGAGUUGAGGACAUAAAGAGGGCAAAGGAGUUAAGAGAAGAAAUGGGUUGAUAGAGAUGGUACGGACGGAUAGGCCGUACCAUUGGCCGUACAAAGGUAAAAGCGGCCAAGUAACUCUCCGGGUAACUUACAUGGACUUACUUGAAGUUACACUUGACCAAGACCUUAUCCGAACGUUGGAGAGGAUAAGGGAGGCGCGGCUUGACAGCUAGGACAGGCUGGCAAGAGCUGGAAAGGAAGAGCAUCUAGUCUUGGAUCAAGAAGAUGCUUCAAACGUGUGGAGACUAUCAUUGGCCGGUUCAAACUAAAGCACCAGCUCCUCUUUGACUCUACAUGCUUGCUUAUCCUUAUGAUUUCGAAAACCCUAAUGUGUAUGGACCUAUAUAUAUUGUGAGCUCAUCAUUAAUAAGAAUCAGACAGUUCUAAACAAUUAAUCUCUCUAGACUUUUCAUAAUGAUUCUCCAUUAGUCUCUUAAUCUCUUAAGCUACACAAAUCUCUUCCUUAUUCUCAUCUAAACUCAGAUUAUCUUUUACAUUACUUAAAACUCUUAUGGUAUCAGAGCCAGGUUGAUUUCAAUCUGAGUUCUUGGUGUUUUUCUCUUGAAGAUUCAAACUUAAAACUUUAAGAGAUCAAGUGAGUGUGUUUGAAGUGUUCGUGGAAGAAUCUACAUCACGGGGGUUUCAUCUACGUUAGGGAGUUCUUAUCUGGAUCUUUGGAGGUUCUUUGAAGGUGAAAGACAAGACACGAGGGGUUUGAAGCUGGUGGUGUGGUUCUAAGUCUCAAGAUCAAGUCUUCUACAAGUUAUUAAGGUGAAACUGUUGAAGAUGGAAAGCGGUACAAAGAUGAACGUUGCUGUGACUUUCAAGGGAAGUAACUACCUAGUAUGGUCUAGGAUGGUGAAGACUGCUGUGGGAAGCAAGGGUUUAUGGAAGCAUAUCAAAGAUGAAGGUUGCUGUGACUUUCAAGGGAAGUAACUACCUAGUAUGGUCUAGGAUGGUGAAGACUGCUGUGGGAAGCAAGGGUUUAUGGAAGCAUAUCACGUCUGGUGAAGCUCCAAAGCUCAUUACCCAAGGAGGAGACAAGGAGAGUGUCUCGGAAGCUGAAGCUGAGAAGUGGCAACAAGAGGACUUGAUGGUGAUGUCUGUUCUUCAUGCCUCAUUGGAGCCGUCCAUUCUUGAUGCUUACAGCUAUUGUGAGACAGCCAAGGAGCUGUGGGAAACAUUGAAAAAGGUGUAUGGAAACACAUCUAACCUUAGCCGGGUCUUUGAAGUGAAGAAGGCUCUAAAUGGCUUAGCUCAAGAGGACAUGGAGUUCACUAAGCAUUUGGGAAGGUUCAGGACACUCUGGUCAGAGUUGGAGAUGCUAAGGCCAAGCACAACUGAUCCGGAGCUUCUAAAUGAAAGGAGGGAGCAGGAUAAGGUCUUUGGGUUGUUGCUUACAUUGAAUCCGAGCUACAAUGGGCUGAUCAAGCAUGUGCUGAGGGCUGAGAAACUCCCUGAUCUGGAGGAUGCGUGUGCUCAGAUACAAAAGGAGCAAGGCUCCAUUGGCUUGUUUGGUGGCAAAGGAGACCUGUCUCUAGCAAAUGCUGCGCAAACUGAUCAUGAAGAGACUCCACAAGCUAAUAAGGCAGCACACAGCAAGUAUGAGGAUAGGAAGUUCAAUGGCAACUGUGAUCACUGCAAGAAGCAUGGACACAAGAAGAGUCAGUGCUGGAUACUUCAUCCCCACCUAAAGCCGGCAAAGUUCAUGAAGGAAAGGGAGGCAAGAGCCCACGCAUCUGAGGGAACAAGUGGAGCUGGGUCAUCUAACCGUGGAGCUGAAGGAGAAGGUCGUGAGGGUGAUGGCAAGGCACUGGUGACAUACUCAGGAGCUCCUAACAACCGUGGCAAUGAUCAUGACUACAUCAGGAGGUCCGAGAUGGAUGCUCUCAUCAAAAUGCUCAAGGAGAACGGUAACACUCAUGGGUACUCCUUUGGUGCGUCUAUGAUAGCUACAUCUGCCUGUGUUGAUGACAUUGCUAGGAUUAAUAGGAUUAAGAGUAAUGAGAACUUUAGAAAUGAGUACACCUUUGCUAGAAAUGCUAGGAUGAAUCAUGAGUCCAAUGCAUUUAGAUCACCUUUGAACCUGUGUAACAAUGCUAGCAACAUAACUAAACCAUUAAUUGUUGAUUCUGGUGCAUCUCAUCACAUGAUUAGUGAUACAAAUCUUAUUAAGGAUAUAGAACCAACUAAUGGACAUGUUAUGAUUGCAAAUGGAGACAAGAUACCUAUUAGAGGAAUAGGAAACUUGAAAUUGUUUGAUAAGAAUACUAGAGCUUUCUAUAUGCCUGAAUUUACAUCUAACUUGCUAUCUGUUAAGAAAUGCACAACUGAUUUGAAUUGCAAUGUUAUAUUCAGUCCUAAUGAUGUAAAGUUUCAGGAUAUUGAGAGCAGCCAAUUGAUUGGAAAAGGAAUCACUAAAGGAGAAUUAUACUUGCUUGAAGAACUUGAUCCUAUUUCCAAUCACAAUUGUUCAUUCACCUCUGCUUCUUGUUUAAAUAAAAAUGCUUUGUGGCAUGCUAGAUUAGGACACCCUCAUGGAAGGGCUUUGAACUUGAUGUUACCAGGUGUUUCAUUUGAAAAUAAGGAUUGUGAAGCUUGCAUUUUAGGCAAGCAUUGUAAAAUUGUGUUUCCAAACUCUACUAGUGUUUAUGAUAAGUGUUUUGACUUGAUUCAUUCUGAUGUUUGGACUGCACCUUGCAUAUCUAGAGAUAAUCAUAAAUACUUUGUCACAUUCAUUGAUGAAAAAUCUAAAUACACCUGGUUAACUUUAAUUCCAUCAAAAGAUAGGGUGAUAGAUGCAUUUAAGAACUUUCAAACUUAUGUGACUAACCAUUACCAUGCCAAGAUUAAAAUUUUGAGAUCAGAUAAUGGAGGAGAGUACACAAGCUAUGCGUUCAAGAGUCAUCUAAGUCACCAUGGAAUCUUGCAUCAAACAAGCUGCCCUUACACACCUCAACAGAAUGGUGUGGCUGAGAGGAAAAACAGGCACUUGAUGGAGGUUGCUAGAUCACUAAUGUUCCAAGCAAAUGUCCCAAAGAGAUUUUGGAGUGAUGCUGUGGCCACUGCUUGCUACUUGAUCAAUAGAAUUCCUACAAAGGUCUUAAAGGAUCAAGCACCAUUUGAAGUUCUAAACAAGCACAAGCCAUCAGUGGACUACUUGAGAGUUUUUGGAUGCUUAUGCUAUGUGUUGGUACCAGGAGAGUUGAGGAACAAGUUAGAAGCAAGAAGCACUAAGGCAAUGUUCAUUGGUUACUCAACAACACAAAAGGGAUACAAGUGCUAUGAUCCAGAUACUAGAAGAGUUCUGACCUCUAGAGAUGUGAAGUUCAUAGAAGCAAGAGGAUACUAUGAAGAAAAGAAUCAAGAGGAUCUAAAGGAUUUGACAUCAGAUAAGGCCGGAGCUUUGAGAAUGAUCUUGGAAGGUCUAGGCAUCAAGAUGAACCAGGAUCCGAAUGUUGAUGGUGGAAACCAACAAGCAAGCUCCGGAGCACCUGUUGGAGUUGAUCAAACACCUCACCUUGAUCAUGAGGGGGGAAGUGAGCCUGAAACUCAAGAAAAUGGCCAAGAUGGAGCCGGCUUGGGUGAAGAAGGAGAAGAGAGUAACUCAGGCUCUCAUAAUCAAGGUGACCAAAGACAAGAAGAUGUAGAAGCUCAGGUUGAAGUACAAGAGCCGAGUGUCCAAGAUGAGCUGGUUCAAGAUCAGCCAGUAUUGAGAAGAAGCACAAGGCUGAGAAAGGAUCCUUCUAGCUGGGUAAACACGAGAGUGUACUACAAUGCCCAGGCUGUGGAGCAUCCUACUCAGGCCGUGUGUUCCUUUGCUCAAUAUCCUCAAGAGCAUUGUGCUUUUAUGGUGAACUUGGAUAAGAAUUAUAUUCCAAAGAGCUAUGAAGAGGCAAUGUUAGAUAAGGAGUGGAAGGAAUCAGUGAGAGCUGAGGCAGGAGCUAUGGUAAAGAAUGAUACAUGGUAUGAGAGUGAACUACCUAAGGGAAAGAAGGCAGUAUCAAGUAGAUGGAUCUUCACAAUCAAGUACAAGGCUGAUGGGCAAAUUGAGAGGAAGAAGUCAAGACUGGUUGCAAGAGGCUUCACACAAACCUAUGGAUAGGAUUACAUUGAGACAUUUGCACCAGUGGCUAAGCUACAUACAAUCCGGAUUGUACUAAGUUUAGCUGUGAACCUUGGAUGGGGCUUAUGGCAAAUGGAUGUGAAGAAUGCUUUUCUACAAGGAGAGCUUGAGGAUGAAGUCUAUAUGCAUCCUCCACCAGGCCUUGAACACUUAGUGAAGAAGGGAAAUGUGUUGAGAUUGAAGAAAGCCAUCUAUGGAUUGAAGCAAUCACCAAGAGCUUGGUACAACAAGCUGAGUACUACCUUGAAUGGCCGAGGCUUCAAGAAGUCUGAACUAGAUCACACUCUCUUCACUCUUACCACUCCCUCAGGUAUGAUAGCCCUCCUUGUGUAUGUUGAUGAUAUCAUUAUCACAGGAAGUGAUAAGGAAGGUAUCAUAGCAACCAAGGAGUUCCUUAAAUCCAUGUUUGAGAUUAAAGACUUGGGAGAAAUGAAAUACUUUCUUGGAAUUGAGAUAUGUAGAUCCAAGGAAGGUUUAUUCAUGUCUCAAAGGAAGUAUCCACUUGAUCUUUUGAAAGGUGCAGGUGCUUAUGGAGGCAAGACAGCAAGGAUGCCUAUGGGGGAUGGCUACAAAGUCCCACGAGAGGGGGAGAUUGAAGACAGCAAACCUUAUCAGGAUCCUAAACUCUAUAGAAAACUAGUUGGUAAAUUGAUUUACCUUACCAUAACUAGACCUGACAUUUGUUUUGCUGUGAAUCAGGUGAGUCAACACAUGCAAGUGCCUAAGGAGCAUCACUGGUGUAUGGUGGAGAGAAUCUUGAUGUAUCUCAACGGCUCACCUGAUCAAGGAGUAUGGAUGGGUUGCAAUGGGAGCACUGAAGUGGUUGGAUACUGUGAUGCGGAUUGGGCCGGUGAUAGAGAAGACAGGAGAUCAACCACAGGCUAUUGCACAUUCAUUGGAGGCAACUUGGUCACGUGGAAGAGUAAGAAGCAGAAGGUGGUCUCUUGCUCAAGUGCAGAAGCUGAGUAUAGAGCUAUGCUGAAGCUUACCAACGAGCUGGUGUGGAUCAAAGGCAUCUUGAAGCAUUUGGAGAUUGAUCAAGCCACACCAAUGACAAUGCAUUGUGAUAACCAAGCAGCUAUCCACAUUGCCUCCAACUCCGUGUUCCAUGAGAGAACCAAGCACAUUGAAGUUGAUUGUCACAAAGUGACGUGUUCCAUGAGAGAACCAAGCACAUUGAAGUUGAUUGUCACAAAGUGAGGCAGAUGAUUAUCCUAGGAGUCAUCCUGCCAUGCUAUACUAGGAGUGAAGAUCAGUUGGCUGAUGUGUUCACUAAGGCUGCGAGACACAAGACUAUGGAGUCCAUUCACAUUAGAUUGGGACUCAUAGAUCUUGGGAAGAGAAGGAGCUGAUCCCCUAAGUCAUGAGGUCUUUACUCUUUUUCCCUCAUCAAAGUUUUGUCCCAUUGGGUUUUCUUUGGUGAGGUUUUUAAUGAGGAAGAUCUCAUGGCUAUCCAAACUUAGACUUUCACAAAGCUAAGCUUGAGGGGGAGUGUUGAGAUGAGAUCAUGUUGAGAUGAGAUCAUAAGAGGAAGUGUUGAGCAAUGUAUAUGAGAAGAGGAUAUGAAGGUGUGAAGCACUAGGAGGAAAGGGAUUGAGGAGGUCUAGUCCGUACAAUCCGUACAUGCCGUACAUAAGGCAUGACCGUACAAGCUUUGGGUGAACUCACUUCAUUAUUCAGGAAGGUUACUUGUGAUAAGGGUAAUGUUAACUAUGGAGAGUUACCAUAGCUUGAUCAGACCGUUGAGGGAAGGAUAAGGCCGCGACUUGACAGGCUGUAUGCAGCUGGAAAGGGAAAGCAACCUUAUCCAUUCAUCCCACACAUGUGGAGUCUCCUAUUGGCUUAGUUUGAAACCGGCGCCUAGCUCCCCCUUGACUACACAUGCUUUGCUUACUUUAGGUUUAGUGAAACCCUUGUAUCCAUCCUAUAUAAAUUGUAAACUCCUCAUCAAUAAGAUUAGACAGUUCGAAACACUAAAUCUUAAACACUUUUGUGUUUUAAAGUGUGUUUAAGAAUGAAUCUGACUGAUUUGUGUAAGAUUAAAGAGAUUUAGAGAUUAGAGAGAAUAAAGGAUAAGAUAGAGACUCAAAACUCCAUUAAUUGAUUUAAUGUCUCAGAUACAAGUUAUAUAUGAAGAGAUAAGACUAAUACAGAGGGUAUUUCGAAAAUGGGACUCAAAGCAUGUGUAGUCAAAGCUAGCUGGCCAUUCUGGUUUGAAAUACUUGGCUGAGAGGCUUCACAUGCUUGGACAGGCUGUAAAGGUGCUUUACCUUUCCAGCUAUGACCAGACCUUAUCCAAACACCUCCUCCCUUAUCCAGACUCCUCUUGGGCGUGAGUCUCUUUACCAAAAUGAUCCAAGGUAACUUCCCAAGCCUUUAACUUAGUUACCACAGUAAAACUAAAGUUACUGUGGUAAAUCUCCAAAGUUAUUGACUGCCCCAAUACUCUUCCUCUAUCAAUGUAUCCACUCUUUAUCACCUCUUCUCAACAUUUACUUCCUGAUCUCCAACUUAACACUCUCCCUCAAGCUUGACCAUGUGAAACAGGUCAAGCUUGGAUUGCCAUGAGAUCUUCCCUCAUUAUAAACCUCAUCAAAGAAAACCCAAUGGGAUAAAACUUUGAUGAGGGAAAAAGAGUGGAGAUCUCAUGACGAGGGGAUCAGCUCCUGGGAGUAAGAUCAAUGAGUCCAAGCCUGGAUAGUAUGGACUCCAUUGUCUUUAAUCUUGCUGCCUUAGUAAACACAUCUGCAAGUUGGUCUUCACUUCUUGUAUAACAAGGCAGUAUCACUCCUAGGAUAAUCAUCUGCCUCACCUUGUGGCAAUCAACUUCUAUAUGCUUUGUCCUCUCAUGAAAGACUGAGUUAGAAGCAAUAUGAAUAGCUGCUUGAUUGGCACAGUGCAUUGUCAUAGGAGUACUCUGCUCAAUCUCCAGAUGCUUCAAGAUACCCUUGAUCCAUACCAACUCGUUUGUCAGCUUCAACGUAGCUCUAUACUCAGCCUCUGCACUUGAACAGGAGAUGACCUUCUGCUUCUUACUCUUCCAAGUAACCAGGUUCCCUCCAAUGAAUGUACAAUAGCCAGUAGUUGAUCUCCUGUCCACUCUAUCUCCUGCCCAAUCAGCAUCACAAUAGCCUACCACUUCUGUACUGCCAUUGCAACCCAUCCAAACUCCUUGUCCAUGCGAGCCACUCAAAUACCUCAGUAUCCUAUCAACCAUCUUCCAGUGAUGUACCUUUGGCGCCUGCAUAUGCUGGCUCACUUGAUUCACAGCAAAGCAUAUAUCAGGUCUGGUGAUAGUCAAGUAGACCAGCUUACCAACCAUCCUCCUAUACAACUUAGCAUCCUCAAACAACUGGUUCUCUUCAACCUCCCCCUCACGCAAGACCUUAUACCCUUCCUCAAGAGGUGUCUUAGUUAUCUUUCCUCCAAGCACAUCAGUCUCCUUCAGCAUAUCCAUAGUGUACUUCCUUUGAGACAUAAACAAACCCUCCUUAGAUCUGCAUAUCUCAAUCCCCAAAAAAUACUUCAUUUCUCCCAUGUCUUUAAUAUCAAACACAGACUUGAGAAACUCUUUGGUGGCUUUAAUCCCAGCCUUAUCACUCCCUGUGAUAAUCAAAUCAUCCACAUACACCAAAACCACUAUGAUCCCUGAUGGUCCGAGCAGUGUGAAGAGUGUAUGAUCUAGUUCAGACUUCCUGAACCCUCUCCCAUUGAGAGUUGUACUAAGCUUUCUCUACCAAGCUCUAGGAGACUGCUUCAGCCCAUAUAUAGCCUUCUUAAAUCUCAAAACAUUUCCUGGCUUCACUAGAUGCUCAAGACCAGGAGGGGGAAGUAUAUAUACCUCAUCUUCUAGCUCACCUUGCAGGAAAGCAUUCUUCACAUCCAUCUGCCACAAGUCCCACUCCAAGUUUGUUGCAAUGGACAACACAAUCCGAAUGGUGCGUAGCUUGGCCACUGGUGCAAAUGUAUCAAUGUAAUCCUCUCCAUAGGUCUGUGUGAACCCUCUUGCUACCAGUCUAGUUUUCCUCCUAUCAAUCUGUCCAUUAGGAAAGUAUUUGAUAGUAAAGAUCCAUCUGCUAGAUACUGCUCUCUUUCCUUUUGGUAGCUCACUCUCAUACCAUGUAUCAUUCUUAAUCAUAGCACCAGCUUCAGCUCCCACUGAUUCUUUCCAUUCCUUGUCUAACAUAGCUUCUUCAUAAGUCCUUGGUACAUAGCUCUCAUCCAGACUAAUCAUGAACGCACAAUGCUCUUCUGGAAACUCAGGAAAGGAACACACGGCUUGAGAAGGAUGCUCCACAGCCUGGGCAUUGUAGUACACUCUCGUGUUUACCCAGUUGGAAGCAUCCCUCUUUAUCCUUGUGCUCCUUCUUAAUGGUUGAACCUGAUCUUCAGUUUGUACCAGAAUCUCAUCUUGAACUUGUUCUUCUGAACCAGUAGACUCUCCUUGCUCAUCUCCACUAGACUGAGCCACAUUCUCUUGCCCAUCUUCAUUAGGCUGAGCCAAAUUCUCUACUUCAUGUGUCGUAUCUUGAUCAUGAUGACCUGAAUCCUCUUGGUUCUGCUCCUGCUCACCUGAUUCAGAUCCAUUCCCCCUCUCAUGAUCAAGAGGGGUUGUUCUUUCAGCUUCUUCAGCCUGAUUAGAAGGCUCUCUCCUUCCUGGUUCCUGAUCAUGGGAUAAACCUAUCCCUAGCUUCUCCAACAGCACUCUCAGUGUUGUUGCCUUAUAUGGAGCUUGAGGUAAAUCCUUCAGAUCUUCCCACUUCUUUUCUUCAUAAUACCCUUUUGAUUCAACAAACUUCACUUCUCUAGAUACCAACACUCUCCUUGCAUCAGGAUCAUAGCACUUGUACCCCUUCUGAGUUACUGAAUAUCCAAUGAACAUUGCCUUAGUGCUCUUUGCAUCCAGUUUGUUUCUCUGCUCUCCUGGAACCAUGACAUAACACACACACCCAAAGACUCUUAGGUGAUCAAUGUAUGGCCUGCUCUUGUUCAAUACUUCAAACGGAGACAGGUUCUUCAAUAUCUUGGUUUGUACCCUGUUGAUGAUAUAGCAAGCAGUUUGCACAGCAUCUCCCCAAAAACGUUUUGGGACAUUUGCAUGAAACAUCAUUGAUCUAGCAACCUCCAUCAAGUGCCUGUUCUUCCUCUUAGCUACACCAUUCUGCUGUGGUGUAUAAGGGCAGCUAGUCUGAUGCACAAUCCCAUGCUUGGCCAGAUGACUCUUGAAGGCAUUGCUGAUGUAUUCACCUCCAUUGUCUGAUCUCAGUACCUUCACAGUAGCAUUGUACUGAUUAGUAACAUGUGCUUGGAAGUUUAUAAAAGCUUCUAACACCCUAUCUUUAGAUGGAAGCAAUGUGAGCCAAGUAUACUUUGACUUCUCAUCAAUGAAUGUCACAAAGUAUUUCUGGCUGUCCCUAGACACACACGGAGAUGUCCACACAUCAGAGUGAACCAAAUCAAAACAAUGCUCAUAAGUAUUUUCAGAAGUUGGGAACAUAGUCCUACAAUGCUUUCCUAAUAUGCAAGCCUCACACUCCAAGUGAUUAAAUGAAAUAUUAGGCAUGAUCAAUUCAAUUGCACGAGCAUGAGGAUGUCCCAAUCUAGCAUGCCAAAUCAUACUAUCACACCUAUCAGCAGCACUACUCAAGCACACAGAAUCAAAGGGUUUAGAAUUCUUAGCCAUUUGAAGAUGGUAUAGCUGAUUCUUGCUGUCUCCUCUGCCAAUAACUCUUCCAGUCUUCAAGUCUUGAAACUCAACUUCAUUUGGCCUGAAUACUACUUGACAAUCAAGAUCAACUGUAGCUUUCUUCACAGAUAUCAGAUUUGAAGUGAACUGAGGUAGGUAGAAAGCAUCUGAGUUCUUCUCAAACAGCUUGAGGUUUCCCACUCCUUCUAUUGGGAUCCUGGUACCAUUAGCUAUCAUGACACUCCCUGUUGCAGCUUUGACUUCACUUAUCAGACUCCUAUCACUGAUCAUAUGAUGGCUUGCUCCAGAAUCAAUUAUGAUAGGUUUAGAGGCUGAUGAUAGAACCCCUUGCCUCUUGGUUGCAGCCAGAGCAUACACAUACUUAACAAACUCAUCCCAUUCCUUCUUUGUGAUUGGAUCAUCCGCUCCUUUAGUCUCCUGCCCCCUCACAACCAUUCUCUCUUCCACUGAGUUACCCAUGUAAGCUGAGUAAGAGCACUCUCCUUUAAUUGUUUGCUGCAUAAACUCCUUAAUCCAUCUCAUCUCUAAGCUAUUGAUUAGACCCGCAGACUGUCUACUCCUCUUCUGAUACAGUCCCUUAGCCCUCUUAGCUCUGAAAAUUCUCCUCAAUCUUCCUUUCUUACAGCUUGUACCAUGUUUCAUACACAUUGGCUUCUUGUUCUUCUCCCACAUAUGGUGAUCUUCACCUUUCUGAACAAUCACACACUCACCAUCUACAUCAGAUAGCUCAUCUCCACUAAGUAUACAUCUGAUUAGCUGAUCAUAAGUUGAUUUCAGGCUCCCAAGAAGGCUAAAGACUCCAUCUUGUUUCAGCCUUUCUUGAACACCCUCCGGAUCUGAUCUGUUUUAUCUCAACUCAUCCAACUCAAACCAUAAACACUUCAGCUUUCCCACAAGCUGAAUGAGCUCGUCCUUUCCUUGUUUCAGGUCCCCAAUAGCUCUCUUGCCAUAAACCUUCAUCAGAUUGGAUCUACUCCCAUGAGCUGUUUCAAUCUCACACCUUGUACUGUCUUCUUGAACAGCUCUAUCUUCAUACCUCAGGCUCCUUGCCUGACCUUCUUUUGUAGUCACUUCACUUAAAGGCUUCCCCUUUACAUGACUACAACACAACACACAGCUCCCCACAGCUGUCUUCACCCAUCUGGACCAACACCCAUCAUUUUCUCCUUGAAUCUUCACUGGUUUACUAGAUCCAUGCUUCAUAUCCAUACUGAGGUCGUUUGUUUCCAUCAGAUAAACUCAAACAAUCCCAGAGAAUGAAGAAUAGAGCUCAAAAACACAAAGAGCACUCAAGAACACCAAGAACAGCCCAAGAACACCAAGAACACAAACCCAGAUUUUUCAAAGCAAGAACAACACACUCCCACCCUUUUAGGAACCUGGCUCUGAUACCAUAAACACUUUUGUGUUUUAAAGUGUGUUUAAGAAUGAAUCUGACUGAUUUGUGUAAGAUUAAAGAGAUUAAGGGAUUAGAGAGAAUAAAGGAUAAGACAGAGACUCAAAACUCCAUUAAUUGAUUUAAUGUCUCAGAUACAAGUUAUAUAUGAAGAGAUAAGACUAAUACAGAGGGUAUUUCGAAAAUGGGACUCAAAGCAUGUGUAGUCAAAGCUAGCUGGCCAUUCUGGUUUGAAAUACUUGGCUGAGAGGCUUCACAUGCUUGGACAGGCUGUAAAGGUGCUUUACCUUUCCAGCUAUGACCAGACCUUAUCCAAACACCUCCUCCCUUAUCCAGACUCCUCUUGGGCGUGAUUCUCUUUACCAAAAGGAUCCAAGGUAACUUCCCAAGCCUUUAACUUAGUUACCACAGUAAAACUAAAGUUACUGUGGUAAAUCUCCAAAGUUAUUGACUGCCCCAAUACUCUUCCUCUAUCAAUGUAUCCACUCUUUAUCACCUCUUCUCAACAUUUACUUCCUGAUCUCCAACUUAACAAAUCUCUCUAUACAUUUUACAAUGAUUCUCCAUUAAUCUUUUAAUCUCUUAUUCUCUCUUAAUCUACUCUAAUCUCU
rnacentral:lncRNA from 1 species